rnacentral:lncRNA from 1 species
UGGCUAUACCUUUGAUUGCAACCUCACGGAAGUUAGACUUGGUGUUCGAGUAGAGACAUUUCCACUCAUCCAAAAUCAUCGAACUAGGAGGAAGCAAGUCAAGAGGAUUUUUGGCCUUGGGCUUUGGUGCCUCCUCCUCAGCAGGUGCUGCAGGCUUCUCUUCUUGUUUCUUGGGCUCAGCCUUCGCUUUGGCAGCUGCUGCAGCCUCUUCAGGUGUUUUCACUGGUGGGACGGCGUCUGUCUGCUUUACCUCACCCAUUAUCUUUUUGAAAUUUGGUUGAUUGACCAAUGUCCAGAAGUACCUCUCAACGUGGGGAAACUCAGAAGUAAAGCUUUUAGUCAAUAUAUAGUUGAAUCCCAAAUAGAGAUUGCAUGUCAGAAUGAUAUCAGCUAGUGUCACGGAGUGUCCAACGAGGAAUGUGUUUGAAGCAAGGUAGGAGUUCAAAGCACCGAAAGAUCGUUUUAGAGCAGCAUCAGCGGUUUCCUCUACCUUCAUGAAGAGAAUAAUACCAAAGAAAUAAUUCAUUCAUAGGUAUCAAAGGAAUACUUACAUGGUUUGAAAAGUGAAUGAAAAUGGAUAUAUAUAUAUAUAAUAAAAGAAAUAAAGUGAAAAGAAAGAAAAACUUCUUUGCAAUCCAACUCACUUCUUUUAUUAAUGCCCACAGAUAAAGAAUACAAAAGAAGAAAAUAAACCUCAACCAUUAACAUCCACUUUCAACCACAACUCAAAACAGAAAUAAGAAAAAAGAAAUCCAACUUACACCCGGAUGGAAAGCAGCAUAUCCAAAUCUAGGCCUCAACUUAGUUGACACAGGAAUAUCAAUUUCAAACGUGGAAAAAUCAAUCCAUUGUUCAACAUGUCCCUGAAAAGAAUAGAAACGAAAGAAUUGAUUAGCAAACAGUUCCUUUCUAAUUGAAGAAAAGGGAAGAAUCAUAAUCAAAACCAAUUAAGAAAACGGAUCUUUACACAAUCAAUGGAAGAAGAGCCAAAUAAACCACUGUCCUUCAAGCGAGCAACUGAACCAUUUAGAGAGAAAAAAACAUUAGCAUAAAAUAAAAACAAAAGGAAGAAGAUUUCCAUUUUAACUCAUCUCCCCAGUUAUCAAGACUCUCCUAAGGAGAAACAUGAAAUAGUAAUUACCAUAGCGAGCUAUAGCAUUGCUCUCAAAGAUAGCACCAUCUGGUGUUUCCAGAACAGGAACCUACAAUAUCAAACAUUAUUUUAGAAUAUUCAAGCGCAUAUCAGUUGUAAACACUAUCUCUCACACAGUCAGAUUAACAGGCAUCACCCGUAAUAUAUGUUUACCUUCCCAAUAGGAUUCAUUUUCAGAUAUUCAGGACUCUUGUUGGUCACGCCCAUGGUAAAAUCUUGGGAAAGAUCAACCUUGACACCAUUGUACUCCGCAGCUAUUAAAGCCUUGUAAGCAUUUUUGUUAGUCUUCCAAGAAUGCAAGACCUGCAAAAUCAAUACACAUAUACAUCAAAGAACAAAAUUACAUUAGACCAGAAAUCAUCCAUUUCUCCUAUGCAACUUAACAAACGAGUAAUCAGACAUUAAAUUUAUGUCCGUGCAAUCGGAACAUAAAUCAAUAGGCUAUAGCAUGCAAGAAGCAAUAAAUGGCAUGGAUAACUAAGUUGAACAUAAUUCUAAAAAACUCCAUCCAUCACAGUACAAAAAAGAAGCAAGGAUAAACACCAAUCGUCAAUAAUGUAAAUCAAAUCAACUAAUUCUUCAAUCCUCCUACGCAAUUCAACGUCAAAAACUUAAGAAUUGCAAAAAGUAGAGAAAUUAAGGAAAUGCGGCGGACAUAAAAGAGUAAUACUUUCGAAGAUCGAUUACUAAAUUCCUCCAAAACUACUCAAACACACUGUAAAAACAUGGGAUCCGGAAUAAGUAGACGAAAAUAAAUCCAGUGGUUCAGAAAUAAAAUCGGCAGAAAAGAAAAAGAGCAUAAAAAGAUGGAGAGCGGAAGUAAUGAGAGAGACUCACGAGAGCCAUCGGUUCGCGGAAGAAACGUUUCGCUCAAAAAUCAGAUCUGAAUAAAUAGGAAAGAAAACACAAGAGUUAGGAAGUGGAAUAAGAGAAUUAGUGAUGAUAAGGAAGAGAUUGAAGGUGGAGAGAAUGAUAGAGAUGAAAGAAAGGGGAAUAAGAAGAGGAUGAAGAUGAGAAAAAGGUAGAAGGAGAGAGACCUGUGAGAGGGCGAGCGUUGUUCCGAGAGCAGGAAAUGUGUUGGGAAGAGAGAGAGAAUAUAAGGAGUGAGGGAAUUAGGGUUUUGUAAAGGGUUUUUUUAUAUUAUUAUUAUUUAUUAUUUAUUUGUUUUAUUUAAUGCAUGGCCCAAAUUGAGAAGAAAUAUGAGUUUUGACCCAAAUCUUUGAAAAUUAGGUUUUUUUUUUUUAAUUUUAAUUUUAACAUUUAUUGAAGUGCAAAAUUGGGCACCAAAAACCACUGUGUUCUCGUACACAUGCACAAUGGGUUUUACCUCUCUCUCUCUCUUUCUCUCUCUCUCCCCCUCCCCUUUUAUCACUCUAUCAAACUACUUUUUGCUUUGCUUUCCAGCGUCUCAUAAGAUUUUGGGCAAACCAAGAAGAAGAAGAAAAUCAUCGCUAUAGACCACAAACAAGAAGGGAAAAGAAAAGAAUAGAAAAUCUCCAACUUCACUCAUCCAUGCCAAACUCAAUUACCAAUACUUUUUAAGAAAAUGAAGCAUUUUUCAUUUUAAGAAAGGUUCUUCUAGAUUGAUUGGAUUUCAUCUCAUGUUUGAUAUAGACACAACUAAAUUUUAAGAUUACUCAUUACUAACAUAUAUUUGUGCUUUUACUCUUACUUAAUUCAUUGAAACGUGAAUGACGAGGGAAUAACUUAUGGAAAAAUAAUAUAUUUCAAAUUUUCAUUUUUUUUAUAACAAAACUCCUUAAAAUAAAAUUUUUUAAAAAAAAACUAGCUUUCAAAACUGUUUUCUUUAAGGUAAAAGCUCAUUGAAAUUGAUAUUUACUAAGAGUCCUUAUUAUUCUCAAAUUACUAUUGAAAGAAGUUGGUCGACAAAUAAUUGAAAGAUGGUGAAAACAUCACCAUAAAAAUCAAAGAAAAGGAAAUCAAUGAUGGCUCUUACACGCUUGAAUGAAUACAAAGAACUUAAAUUUAACUAUGUUAUUUUUAGUUUUUCAUGCAAGUUAACAUUUAAAAACUCAAGGAAUUAUUUAGAGUUAAUUAAGUAUUUAGCUUAAAUAAACUUAUUUUAUAAAAUGAUUUUUAUUUAAUAAUUACAUAAAAGUGAACAUGUACAAGUUGCUAUACAUUUUAAAAUGGGAAAAGGUCAAUCCAUACUAAUAUGUUGCUAAUUAUAAAGGGUGACAAUCAGACCUAUUUGAAAGGCUUUCCAAAUAUAAAUAUGAUUUGAUUACGAUGGAGAAUCGAGGCUGUUUACUUAUCUGCUGGUAUCUUUGUCCCCAUAAUGUUAUCUUCGUUAUAUCAAUCGAUAAUGGUAUUCGUAACAAAAAUCUAUUUGAAAUGAAGGCAGAAAACAAAAUCUGACUAAAAAAAAGUCCACAGAAACAUUUCUCUCAAAGUUAACUCUCUAAUGUCCCCCAAUAAUAAUUAAAAGUUUUGCGCUAUUUCUCACUUAAAGCAUUUGGCGUCCAAAAGAGCUUCACCCUCAAAUGGUUCCUGAUCUUCAAUCAUUUGGCUCACCCUCUCCUUCUGGGCUUCAUCCGAGAUAUCCACCUUCUUCCACUCGUACAGCUCCAUAUCAUAGCACUCAUCAAGCACAAAUUGUGGGAUUUCUUUUCCACGGAAAAGCCAUAGUCCCUUCACCUUGUAUGGUGCCUCUGAUCCGAUCACAAGCAUCUUUCCAAAUGCGUACUUCCUAGCAAUAUCCAUUCUCUGGAGGAAUCCACCAACUUUGUUCAAAGUCACAAAUGAAACAGUAUUCUCGUCGUUGUAUUUGUAGUCACAGAACCAAAGGGAGUAACCUUCUGGGUCAUACAUGUCCCAGAAUCCUGCAUUUCGUAAAACAUAUGGCCAUAGAAUAAUUCAGUUUAACCAUCCUUUCUCUAAAAGAAUUCAAACAGCUAAUGAGGCUGACGAAUGGCCAUACCUUUGAUUGCAACCUCACGGAAGUUAGUCUUAGUGUUCGAGUAGAGACGUUUCCACUCAUCCAAAAUCAUCGAACUAGGAGGAAGCAAGUCAAGAGGGUUUUUGGCCUUGGGCUUUGGUGCCUCCUCAGCAGGUGCUGCAGGCUUCUCUUCUUGUUUCUUGGGCUCAGCCUUUGCUUUGGCAGCUGCUGCAACCUCCUCAGGUGUUUUCACUGGUGGGAUGGCGUCUGUCUGCUUUACCUCACCAAUUACCUUUUUGAAAUUUGGUUGAUUGACCAAUGUCCAGAAGUACCUCUCGACAUGAGGAAACGCAGAAGUAAAGCUCUUAGGCAAAAUAUAGACGAAUCCAUAAUAGAGAUUGCACGUCAAAACAAUAUCAGCCAGUGUCACAGAGUGUCCAACGAGGAAUGUGUUUGAAGCAAGGUAGGAGUCCAAAGCACCGAAAGAUCGUUUUAGGGCAACGUUUGCAGCUUCUUCUGCCUUCAAGAAGAAAAUAGAUCGUAACACAAGUCAUAUGCCAGAGGUAAAAAAAAGCCUACUUCUAUUGCUGCCCACAAAUAAAGAAUACAGGAGAAAAAACAAACUUCAAUCAUUGCCAUCCACUUUCUAAUACCUUGUAAGAAAAACAGACUCAAUAGAAAUAGAAAAGGGUUCUAACUUACAGGAGCAUGGUAAACACCAUAUCCAAAUCUAGGCGCCAGAAUAGUCGAAAUGUGAAUAUCAAUUUCCAAUGAAGAGAAAUCGAUCCAUUGUUCAACAUGUCCCUGGAAACAAUAGAAUAAAAAGUAUUACUAACAAAAAGCAAACGCAUUCCUUUCUGAUUAAAGUAGAGAAGCAUAAUCAAAUCUAACUAAAGAAAAUAGUGAAUCUUACAUAAUCAAUUGGAGAAGAGCCAAAUAAAAUGCUGUCCUUCAAGCGAGCAACUGCAGGAAUUAAAGAAAAAAAACAUUAGUAUAAAAUAAUUUCCAUUUUAACUCAUCUGCAAACUGAAGUCUAUCCCAAUUCCCAAGUAGUACAUGGAAUAGUAAUUACCAUAGCGGGUUAUAGCAUUGCUCUCAAAGAUAGGACCAUCGGGUGUUUGCAGAAGAGGAACCUGAAAGAUUAAAAAACAUAAUUGUAGAAUACUUAAGCCCAGAUCAGUCAUAGCUAUUAUCUCUCACAAGGUAAGAUCACCGAACAUCGUCAGACUAGUUGUUUACCUUCCCAAUAGGAUUCAUUUUGAGAAAUUCAGGACUCUUAUUGCUUACACCCAUAGUGAAGUCUGGGGCAAGGUCAACUUUGACACCAUUGUAUUCCGCAGCUAUUAAAACCUUGUAAACAUUUUUGCUAGGAGUCCAAGAAUGCAGAACCUGAAAAAUCAAAACACAAAUACAUCGGAUCCAAUAUCUACUUUCAAAAACAACUUAACCAACGAAUAAUUAGACAUUAAAUGCCUGUGGCAUGCAAGAAGCGAUGAAUGGGAUGGAUAACUAAGUUCGAUACAACUCAAAAAUACUAAUAAUAAAAACACUUCCCACCUAUCUAUGAGAGAUUGAUUGUUAAAUUAGCAUGCUCCAAAACAAAUACUCAAAACGCAUUUAGAAACGAACUAAAACCUCCCCAUAGAGAUCAAAUCAUAAAUUCAUUUUCUUCAUCAAACGAGAUGUUAAGCCGUAAGAUCUGGAACAGCCAGACGAAAACAAAUCCACUAGUUCUGAAAUCAUUUCGCAACUUAAAAAAAAAAAAAAAAAAACAGCAUAAAAGAUCAACAGCGACAGCAGAAGUAAUGAGAGAUGCUCACCAGAGCCAUAUCGCUUCCGGAAAAAACCGUUACGCUCAAAAAUCAGAUCUGAACAAUAGCAAAGCAAAUUCAACAGUUGGUUACUGAAGUGAUGAAAAAACAGAGAGAAUUAAACACCAUAACGAAGAGAUUGAACGUUGAAACUGGAUAUUGAUGAAACAAAUGGAAUUAAGAAGAAAAUGAAUGAGAGAAAUAUAGAAGGAAAGAGGACCUGUGAGAGGGCGAGCGUUGUUCCGAGAGUAAGAGUGAAGGCUGAGGGAGAUGUGUUGGAAGAGAGACUAUAAUGAGUGAAGGAAUUAGGGUUUUGUAAAUGCGGAAAGAUGCUUUUAGAUCGGGUCGCAUAUUCGUUUUGGGCUCCAUUGACCCAACUCAAUUUUAACAUAUUUUCAAUACUUACAAAUUUAACUAUUACAUUUACCAAUUUCAUUAAAAAUAAUCAAAUAAAUAUAAUAUAUAAAUUUAUCAAGUGAUAGUUUUGUUAUAUUUCUAUUUUUUAAAUAUUGUUAUAUUCUUCAUGGUCAUCAAUUAUAAUUACCUUUUAUUUUUAAAAUAUUUCAUACCUACAUAUAGUAAGUACUCAAACAUGGAUUUAGUUUCAAACGCGCUUUGAACAAAUGAAAUGGAAGGUGAAAGUGCCUUUUUAAGUCAUGAACAAAUGUAAUGAAAUGUGAAAUUUUUUAUGAUGAUUUUAAAUGUUUCAUUUUUUUUAUUAGUAAAUGUGUGAGAUAGUUCGCAUGCACAUUAGCUAUUUUCAUGGUACAAAUUGCUUGAAGAUAUACUUAGUUGGUCAUCAAACACACUAAUUGAACUCAUACCUUCUAAAUUCAUUGUCAUUUUACAUCAUGUUUACUAAUAUGUAAUUAAAAUUGUUAUAAUUAUAAUAGUUUUAUUCUAUCGAUACAUCAAUUGUAACAAGUUAGACAUUAUGCUAAUACAAUUUGAUUAUGAUUGAGAUGUUUAUUCUUACACCAUUUUUUAGGUUACUGUGUUAGGUUCAAUGAUUUGAUAUGACUAACGCCUCUUCUUCUUCUUCCUUUUUUCUUUUUUUUCCUAUCAUUGACAAUCACUUAAACUUUAUAUUUUAGCUGUAAGAGCACUUCACAUGCAGUAAAGAUAUGGUCCGCCAUUGCUUUUAAUUUGUCUCUCUCAAUCUAUCAAUAAUGUUUAGAAGAAUAAUUAUAAUGCAAUUUCAUGAAUAAUAAUCAAUCAUACAACAACAUUUUAAAAAUUUGUAAAUAUAUUUGAUAGACUUCUAAAAAUAUAUACCUAUUUUAAAUGUUUACAAUUGUACUUAUUUAGAAACCACAAAUUAAAAUAAUAUUGUACGAAAACGUAUGAAAAUACAAUUCAAUUGAAUCGAUGCGAUGUUAAGUCAAAAAUAGCUUGAGAAAACGUAUACAAUAAAAAAAAAAUUGUACAAAAUAACAAAUUUGACAAAAUAUUUAUAAACUAUAACAAAAUUUUGGACUCUAUCAUUAAUAGACAUUGAUAGACACUAAUAGAAGUCUAUCAAUUAUUAUCAUUCAAAGAAUCCAAAAUGUUACUAUAACUUAUAUAUAUUAAUUUACUUUGCUAUUUCUAAAAAUACUUUUUAAAAAAUUACAAAUUUAGUUAUUGUAAUUAAGAGAAAAAAAAUUAUAAUGUAUUCCCUAAAAGUUCGACAAGACAUAAAAUAUAAUUAGUAUGAUUUAACAAAAAUCUCAUAAAUAAUCUCUUUAUUUUCAUUAUUUAAGAAAAUUUUGUCAAACCAUGAAACUAAAAUCUAAUUAUAAAGUAUAAUAUAUUUCCUUCAAACCAUAAAAGACGAAAUUUAAAAUGAAAGGAAGAAACAGACUUGUUGAUUGAAAUAUUGUCAUACAUAUGAAGAUUAAAAUUGAAGCUCUAAAAUCUUUGGAAGAUUUGAUUAGACACUAACGAUAUGUUGAUGAUUUAGUCCUAAUUGGAAAGCAUUUAAAAAUGAAAAAUGACAAACUGGCCACUUAUAAAAUGUAAUGAAUUAAAUCUAAAGUAUUUUAAAAUGGUAUAUGACAAAUUGCCCCACUAUAAAAUCAUGAUUUAAAUCACAUAAAGGAGCAUUCAACGCCAAAACUCUACAAUAUUUACAUAAAUAAUAUAGUGAUGAUGUGAUAGAGAAUUGAAUUUAUGACUUUGAGAAAAUGUCAAUCCAAUAAGGGCUUUUCAACAUUACAAAGAUAUGGGAUUUUAAGAUUUUUUACAAUAGAUUCUUAUUUACGAAACUUGCUAUAUUUGUAACGGUUCCCUAUUAAACAUUAUACAACUUUCUCAAUUUAAUCAAAAAAAUUUGAUCCACGAGCUUGUUUGGUUAAAUAGUUAAAGAUGACAGGUCUAUAAAUUAAAAUCAAACGUCAACGGUGGCGUUAGAGGCAAAGGACUGCCCCAUAUCACAAGUCAAUAACAUAUAAGCUCGACGAUCCUCGAGCUAGACAUGAUUCACGAACUAAGGAAAGUUGGGCCUAAUCCAAGCAACAGUGAUGUGGCUUGGACGUGUCCCAUAAUUAACGUUUGACAUACCGAAACAACUAUGCUCAAUGAAUGUCAGAAUAGUUUUCUUUACUCCAAACUACACUGAUAUAAUUCUCUCCAGACUUAAGCAUAUAGUGGUGAUUAGGAGAGGAAGAGAGAGUAUCCAAAGGUAACUGUCACAAAGCAUUUAUACACACAAGGAUUCAAACAGGGAAUAAUUCACAAUUACAUAGAGAUCCUUGAGCCAACAAAAAGUAAACACAAUUUCAUCUUCUUAAGAAACUUGUUAACUUAGAUUUUACCAUUAUAUAAUUAGGCGUGGGAGUAAGUGCUCAACUGCAACAGCUGCUCUUUUGUUGAAUUGGCUGCCCCUUCAUUUGCACAUUUCCUGACGACUUGGACGAAGUUGGCUGGCUCCCCAUUCUAAUACACAUUUUGAAAUGUCAAAAACGAUAUAAUGAGAGAGAGAUUCAACAUUAAGCCAAUAAUGGUAAAAGUCCACUUUCCAGAUAAGCAAGUUGAUUGAAACACCCUAUUGAAUUUCUCAACGAUGCUGGAGGAAAAGUGAAGAAAAAAAGGAUAAAAAAAACCAUGCCACAACAUUAUAGUUGUAAAGGGUAGGGAAGAGAAUGGCCAUUACUUUUUCUUUAUUUCAGCAGCCAUAGUUAAGAAAGCUUGCUCCACGUUGGUCGAGUCUUUUGCACUCGUCUCUAGAAAAGGGAUUCCGAGCUCGUCUGCAAAUGCCUGCAAUCCAUCCAUGAAAAGGAAGCACGAUAAAUCAAUGUAUUAAGUUAACUUAUCUUCUACAUUCUAGAGGACAGGCCAAGGAAAAGUAGUCAUGAGAGAGAAGGGAACAAGACCUUAAACUAAUGAUACUUGACAGAAGUUAUAUUAGAACUUGAAGUGCAGAAAUAAAAGUAUAGUCAAUUUACAUUGAAGGUCAUCCAAAAUAACAGGAAUAUUCUAUCAAAUGUGGCUGAAUGAGUUUGCAAGAAAUUUGUAGUCAAUCACUUGCGAGUAUACAUGGAAGAAUAAAUUGGGGUACCAAAACACUAGCAUAUUAACAGGCUGGUCCUGCUGAAAACCUAAAAGUGGAAGCAAACUAAACAAAAGUUGAAGUUUAAGAAUUUAUCGCACAAUUAAAAUAAAAACUAUACCUUCGCUGUCUGCGUGUCAACAACCUUGUUCUCAACUAAAUCACACUUAUUUCCUACUAAAAGCUUGCAUACACUAUCAUUAGCAUAUCUAUCAAUCUCAUUCAGCCAUUGCUUGACGUUGUUAAAGCUCUCCAUUUCAGUGACAUCAUAAACAAUCUGUUGCAAUUCAAACAAAUAUUUGUAACAAUGGCGCAAUUCUUUGAUUGAAGUUAAAUAAUGAAUCUGACCCAAAAAGAAAAACAAAAAAAUAAUGCCCAACUCACUUUCUAGGCAAGCUAUUUUAAGAAACCAGAAUGCAUCCUCCCAAUUUACCAUAGAUAUUGGCCCAAGGGCUUUUUCUCCAACACGACUAAUACAAACUGAUAUUGGCUUAAGGGCUAAUAGCACUAAUAACAAUAAGACAUUCAAACAAAAUCUUCCAGACAAGAGCCAUAAAACUACAUGCUAAGAACAAGUAUGAGAGAGAUCUCAUAAAUUCAACAUACAAAUAUUUUGAUCCCUUAACUUGAUAGGGAAGAUUCUUACAAUUAUUCCAUGUGCACCUCUGUAAUAGCUACUUGUUAUAGUCCUGAAUCUCUCCUGACCAGCAGUGUCCCACUAAAAGAAACAAAACAAUAGAAUCAGUCCAAACUUCUGUGUGUCAAAUUAAGUUUUGACAAGUCCUUGAAAAGAUGAGGACUACAGCUUUAGUAAAAAAAGGAAGUCAGAAGAAUGGAUUAGAUAGUCAACAAUAAUUGUAAAGGUUACUACACAUUCACUUUCAUGUCUCCAACAAUUUGCACAGCAACAUUAUCCACCGUUUCCUGUUAGUCUUUUAAUGAUGACAACAGCUUUUAUGUCAGAUGGACUUGCAUAGAAGAUGGAAUCAGGCAUGUAAAAUAUGAUUGAAGCUGAAAAUAUAGCAUCAUCACAACCUAUUUCAGUAAAGCAUCUGAUUCGUACCAACAUUUUGAUGUUUUCUGAAAUUUAAUUUCCAUUUUAACAGAGAAACCGAGAAAAUAAAAUUUAAUAGCAACCACACCAUAUUUUAGCCUUUCUGAUACAAAAAGGCUUACUUUUAGCCAGAAUACAAGAAAGUAACGGCAGGCUACAAUAUCAUACAUGCAUACAUACGUUUAUUUCCCACAUGAAUAAGCUCUUCCAAGGCCGCUUAAAUGUUCAAUCACGCAGCAAAAAAAAAUGUCCAGUAUGAAUAAGAAAGAAAAUUUUAUAAAAACAAGAAACUACGCAAGCCCACUCACAAUCUGGAGCUUAAUGGUCUUCCCAUCCAGUUCCACAGUUCUGAUUUUCUGGAAAAAGGAAAAAAAAAAAAAAAACCACAGAAGAUUACCCAUAAGUAGUAAAAUCCAGAAGCAAUGGCAAUGGCAAUGGCACACCAAAGCUUUAUAGGUAACGGUUUCAAGACUCACGAAAUCAACUCCAAUUGUACUUAUAUAGCUAUCCACAUAAGAAUCAUCCUGAAAGAAAAAAUAAAGAAAAAAUUAGCUUUAUGUUGUAAUGAUGAAGAUAACCCCCUACAAAACACUAGAGAAAGCCCUAAAUCAUCACCCAUUUCCACAAUCCGAGACAUAAAGAGAUGAAAUAAACAAAAAAAAAGGAAAAACGAAGGCAGAAAUAAAAAGGUUGUACCGCAAAUCUGAGAAGAAGGCAAGAUUUUCCAACGGAAGAGUCGCCGAUUAGCAAGAGCUUGAACAAAUAAUCACUGCAAAAGGGGGGGAAAAACAUAAAGAAGAAAUAAGAAGUGUGAGGAGUUGGAUUGAAGAAAUUGAAUGGAAAUGAAGGAUUAACAUACUAUUCGUUGCUCAUGGCUUGAAUGGAAAUGGAAAUGGAAAAAAGAAUGAAUGUGCGUGGUUGGAUUUCUGUGGGAGUCUCUUAGAAGCGAAAGCGAAGGUGAGAAAGUGGGAGUGAAGUAAGAGACCCGUUUGAUGAUGAUGAUUAUUAUUUUCUAAAAAUAAAAAGGAAAUUCUAAAAUUAUUAUUAAUUAAACUUAGUCUUCUUUCUUUCUUUCUUUCUUCCUUCCUUCCUUCAAACUUGCGUUCCUUAACUUCCUUUUUCAAGUUUCGUACGUAAAUUCAAUUUUUGUCUUUAAUAUUUCUUUUUCAAUUUUCAAUAUGCUCAAAAAAAAAAAAAUACCCUUGUGGUCUACCGUCUUCUUUAGUUAUCUAAUUCCUCUUCCAAUUUUAUUUAGUUUUAGUUUAUUUUUUCCUUUUUAUUUAUUUACAUUUUUACUACAGAGUUUAGAAAUAUAUUCACACGUUGAAAUUAAACAUUAUUUGAACUUUCACUCUAUCUACUUCUUAAUAAGAUUGAAUUUCGUUAGUUUUAAAUUUGGGUUGUGUUCGAGUUUUUUUUUUUUCAGAUUUGGUUCAACCUAACUCAAUAUGAAUUAAUAAUAUAUUCAACAAAAUUUUAAUUUAGUCUAAUUAUAACAGGUUAUGGAAUUUUCGUAUAAAGAUUAAUCAAUGAAGUUAACAUACAUUUUUUACUAUUUUUCUAUCACUAUAUUUUAAAAUUAAUAGGAAACUUAAAAAGAAAGAUCAAAUUUCAAAGAAUAAAAGCGUUGAAAGGAUGUUGGCAAAUGUCAAAAAGUGAAAUAUUCAUUAUUUGUUACAUUUCUUUAGUAAAAAGAAAUCUUCAUAUGAUAUUUUGACCUUUAAACAAACUAAAAUGAGGAAACAUGUGUCCUUGAAGUACUUUAACCUAAUUUUAACCGUUUUACGAAGAUUUUUUUUUCUUUUUGUAGCAAAUCGAGUAGUCAUUAGUCCACAUUGAAGGGUUGAUGUGUCUCCAACGAGACCCUAAUUUUGGCACAUUAUGCUAGUUGUACAAACUUAUUGGUUUUUAGUCUAAUAUUUUCCAGCUCCAAAAUCAACUAAAAAGGUGUUUAGUGCUUGAUUUGUAGAUAAUCCUCUCAUUCACUCCUAAGAAAAGAUCUCACAAGUUUUUUCAUCUAGAGAAUCUUCAAGAAUGAAAGCUCCUCUAAAGAACCAUAGUUUAGAGUCAUCCCGACUUGUCAUAGCGCGUGUAGAGUGGGGAUUCACCCUUGAAAAAAGGUUGAAAUUUGUCUUAAAGUGCUUUUGCGGGUGAGGUUUUGACUCAAGGAGUUUAGUUUACUAUUCUUUUAACACUUGUUUUAAUCAAACAAUCUCACUCUAGUUACUUCAAAACCAUAAAUGCUCUUAUCGAGAAACUUGUCAGUUGUACGUGAAUCAACUCAUAUUGCUCUUGUGACAAGUUUAAGUAGGCAUGAAAUUUAUUUGAUCAUAAGGACCUUCGAAAAAUCUCAACAUUUUUUCAUUGUCGUGUGUUAUGAAGCUUUUAAUGGCUUUACGUGUGCAACUAUGCUUUAGGUGAGUUGCUAUAAUUUUCGAUAUAUGACGGUGUUCUUUUCGUGCAAUAGCUUUAAUAAGUGCCUUCAAUGAUGAAUAUAUGAAAAUUUCGUACAAGUUUUUCUAUUUUAGACUCAAGUGUAAGUAAGAUAAGGUUUCUAGCUAGGUGAUUCCAGGUUUCAAACACAGAGGCUUAGUGACAGAUAAUUGUAUCUUCUAAACGAACUCUUGCGAUGAAUAUAUAUAUAAAGUAAAUGUGUGCUUAAUAUGGGUUGAAUGUUCAAAUCACAAACAAAUAUGAAAUGCAACAUAUGACAUGGAAGGUGAAGGUGUGUGGCUGAAAUAAUCACUACAAUAUAGUAGGUAAUAGGUAAUAGUCUCUCUAAACAAUGCAUAAUUAAGGGUCUCGUUGUAGGUUUGAACAACUAGGCACAAUAUGACAAAAUUUUACAUUCUCAUACCGUAAAUGUCAUUUUGUAGAGUUUGAGUAUUUUUUUAGUCCACAAUCUUAUUGUUAUUUUACCUUUUCAUGUCUUUUUUUUUCAUUAAAUUUUACAUUCUUUUUUCAACAAUUUUUCGCAUCAGACACCCUUGUUUUAGACAAAUAUAAUUUCCUUUGAUUUCACAUGAACCAUAGGAUGAUAAAAGCACACUUUAGAUCCGGCCUGUCUUGAGCUCAUUUGCCUUAAGUGGAUCCCAUUAGUCAUACAAGAUCACCACCACCUUUACUAGAACCAAAGGAGCUAGCAUAAGAAGGGAGAGCACGUAUAUUCCAUAGUUUUCUAGAGAACUUAGAUUUCCACAUGACAUGACAUGUAGUCUUCUUAAUGUGUCGUGCAAAAAAAGAAGAAGAAGAAAGUGAGUUAGUAUGAAUCACACUAGAGAGUAGAAUUUCAAAAGUAGGGAUAAGUUCAUCAAAGAUUCUCGAACAAGUGAUUUUGAUCCCUUCCUUACUCCAUCUUUAAGAGUGUCAUUGUGUUAUAGAAGAAGCGCCAAAUUGAUCCCCAAAUAAUAGACACUUCUGACAGGAAACUGUCUUGUUCUUGUCAAAGUGUCCUAACAUCUCAUCAUUAAUCUACUUUUGAUCGGAACAGAUAUUAAGACUAUCCUUUUAAUCAUGAAGGAUGAACAACUCCACCAUUAUCCUUUUAAUAGUAAAAGGACACAUUCCUUUCUUUUGCCUAUUUCAUAAAUGUUACUUGAUUAAAAAUUUAUUUUGUUAACUAGAUACGCAAACGGCCUAACAAAUCAAGAUAUUUCAUCCAUUAGCCAUAACCUGACACCUAGAAGACCCUUUGUACGAGCUUCAUGAUCCUCUAGCUGUGCUUGCAAGCGACCUUUUCCUAUAAUCUUUCACUAAAUCAAUUGUUAUGGAUACAAAGAAUGAAUAUUUAUAAUAACUAAAUUGGUUAUAAGUGAUUAAAGAAAUCGUAACUAACUAUUAACCUUCUAUCAGACUUCUUAACCUCCAUUAGCUAAUACUUCCUUCUUGCUUACACAAAAAUCUCUUUUCAAACAUGCUUCCUCUUAUCCUGAAUGAUUCACACAAAAAAUGACGACACGUCCUUUCCAAAUACAAAAAUCCCUCUCGAAGUUUAAAGCAACUUAUGGUGUAAUUUGGAAUAGCCUAAACAACAAAUUUGAAUCGAUUUUUAAAAACAUUGACAAAAAAAAAUAUAACAAAAUAAGUAAUUUAGAGGUAAAGGAAUAUUUAUACACUUAAUUUAAAAACCAUUUAAAAUAUUAAUGCAUUUGAUAACCAUUUCAGUUUUUCGUUUAUUUUAUUUUAUUUUCUUUUUUAAAAACAAAACCAUUAAAUCAAACAUGAGGGUUAUUUUUUGCUUUUGUAAUUUAAAAAACAAACGCUAAUACAAAUUUGAGAAUUGUUUUUCAUUCCCAACAAAAAAAAAAAAAAAAAAGGUAAUUCAAGCUUACCAUCUCCUUUUAGAGAGUGCUAUAGUAUUAAAAGAUUGCUUGAUAUUAGAGAUUCUUGCACUUAAGUUUUCAUUACAUGUCCACAAUGUUGAUAAAAGAAUAAUUAAAUCAUGCUUCAAUUUUGUAAACCAUUUUUGUAGUCGAUAAAUUUUAACACAUUUAUCCACUUUUAAAAUAUCUCGAAAAAAAACUUACAACUACUUGAAACAUUUCGAUUGUUUUUAUACAUGCGUAUUUAUAUAUUAAAUAGGAGACAAAAAGAAAUGGAUAAAAUGAAGUAUUUAUCGUAAAAGUUAGUUUGAUUAAUAGCACGGCCUUUAUCUCUAGAGGUAAGAGUUCGAAAGUUCAAUUCUCUACUUCAUAGUUGUUUUAUAGUUCUCGUAUUAACAAAUUUACGAUAUUUGAAAUAUUAAAAUAAUGAUUAAAUUUAAACAAUAUUACCUAAUAUAAAUUUAUCUAAGAAAUUUGAUGAAUUAUUGUGAAAAAAUCUUCCCACCAUACAUGAAAAAUAAGCAUGUUAAGCGUUUAAGAGACCAAAUGAUUCGUUACCUAAUUUUGUGAUCGAUUAAUGUGUUGAAAUUGCUCGAGAUUCUCUUCCACAAGGGACUUACAAUAAUCAAAUUCACUUCUUACAUAUUUGACUUUCACAAUUUGUAGUUAGAAUAUCAAACUCUUGUUAUAAUAACGUAUAAAAUAAAGUAAACAUGAACAUAACUCAACUGACAUAAACUUGUAUUUCGAACUUUGAGAUCUAAGAUUCGAUAUUUUACUUGAUGAGUUAACGAAAAAGAACUCUAAGUCGACCGUUGCAUGCAUUUUAAGUUGUUAAUCAUAAGCGUCAAUAUUUUUUUAACACUUCCAGCUUUUAUUUUGUAAUUUCAAAGUAUUUGUUUUAAUUUUGAAAACUAAAAAACAAAUAAGUUAUAAAAAAAAGACUAAAAGUAGAUAACAAAUUAAUUAUCAAACCAUUCGUAAAUGAUUAUGAAAUGACCUAAACAAUACAAUACCGAGCUUAUUACAUUUGAGAAACUAAUAUAAUCUACAAUAAUUUUUUUUUGAUAUUUUUACGAGUUGAAAAACUUAUUCGUUUUUUUCGUAUUGUAUCAUAAAACAAAUAAAAAUAUCAAUUUAUAUCCUUAAACUUAGAUUUGUAUCAAUUUAAAUUCUAAACUAAUAAUUAUUUUUCGAAAGUUGUAUGAUCAAUUAAAAUACAAACUAAUAAUUAUAUCAACUUAAACUCUAAACUUUUACGAGUGUAUCAGUUUAAAAUCAAAACUUAUAUAAUUGUAUCAAUUUAAACCAUUUCUUUACGUUUUAUUUGAAUACAUACAUUGAAAGUUGAAGGUUUAAAUUUGAUACAAUUAAAAAAGAUUAGAUUUUAAUUGAAUACACUUAUAGAAAUUUAGGGUUUAAAUGAAUAAAACUAUUAGUUUUGAGUUUGAAUUAUUCUAUGGGAAAAGUUAAAUAUUAAAAUUAAUAUAAAUAGAUAUUUGUCCUAAAAACAAAACAUAAGAUAAAUGCUAUUUUUAACAUUUCCACAAAAUUGUUAUUUAAGGAAAAAAGAAAAAGAAAAAGAAAGAGAUAAAGAGAACUCCAAGUUUUGAUCCAACCAUAUAUUAAGUAUUAAUUAAAACAAAGACUCAGAGUUUAAAUGUGAAUUUAUGUAUUUACUAUAAUUGACAAUUUAAUUGCAAUAAUAUUCUAAGGCAACACCCAGGAGGAGGGUGUUAAUUAAAUACAAAGCAGAAGAAGCAUGUGCUAAUGUCCUAAUUAAUCUUAAUUAAUAAUCUAAUGUUUGCAAUUACAUCCCAAAUUUAUUCUCUUAAUUUCUAAAAAUGUUAAAAUUAAAGUUGAAUCUGAGUAAUAAAAUUAUAUAAAUUUAGGAGUUUGAAAUUUAAAAUUUGAAUAAGUUGAAUAAGUUGAAUAAGUUGAGGAGUUUAAAACAAAAAGGAGGGUAUGGGCUUAUUUGGAAUCCAGCGUAGAUUGAAGGCAAGAAAAGAGAAUACAAUGUUAUUGUGAAUCCAGGUUAGGAGUAGGUUAAAGGUAUAUCCAAACAGGAAGCAAAUGAAAGGGUCGCCGCAAACGCCGCCACGACGGCAUCCACGUAGGCUCGAUGUAACCGAACCAAAUACCUGAGCCGAAGCUAGAGGCUUCGACGCGCAGCUGGAGACAGCCUGUCACCAACAAAGUCCCACUCACCUAUUCCCCUAACUACGUUCUCUCUGUCCCGCUCUCUCUCUCCUCUUUCUCUCUCUAUCUCUCUGUCUGCCCCCAUCUUCUUCAUUCUCUCUCCCCCUCUCUCAAAGAUUAGGGUUCUUUGGUUCCUUCUUCGAUUCUUCCAAACCUCUCCUUCUGCAUGCUAGAUCAAGAUUCCUCUCUCUGUAAGCUUCCGAUUCAUCUCUUUUUCUUUUCAUUUUGUUCGCAUUUCCUUUCCCCUUCUUAAAUCCACUCCACAUCGCGGUUCCCCCCCCCAUCAUUUUUCUUUUCCUCUUAUAUCUUUCUUCUUCUUCUUCUUCUUCUUUUCUUUUUUUUUUUUUUUAAAUUGAUUUUUCCUCUUUUUAAUGGGUUCUUUCUUCCUUUUUGUACCAUGCAUGGUUUGGUUAUUAACUAUGAAUUUUGAUUUGGGUUCUUUGCUUCUUUUGUUUUAUUUAUUGUGAAAUCAUUUUGGUUGGGUUGUGUUAGGUUUUUUUGUGUUUCUCUCUAUUUGUUGUAUGUUUCUUGUUGGUCUGGGUUUCUUUAAUGACUGCAUUUUCAAUAAUUGAUAAUUAAGGGUUUAUCAGAUUUUUCUUCUUCUUAAUGUUUUCUUAACAUUUUUGCUUUUGGUAGGAUUUUGUUUUUGAAUGUUCUGUUAAACCCAAACCCUGGUUCUUUAUCAAUGUUUUAAGUUCGGAAAGCUGGGGGUUUCGUUGAUUGUGAUUGAUAUUACUGCCAUGACCGACAAUGCCAGCUAAUAUAUCAAGGGUGUUUGGCUUAAGAUGCGUGAUUAUUUAGUUUGGUUUGAAUAUGUAAUUGUUUGUUCUUCGUUUGUAUUGGGUUAUUUAUGCUAAUACUAGUUCUGUUAAUAAAAUAAAAUUUGUUGGUUUUACAAACUUUACUUUGUAGUUUGUUCAUUUCACCCUUUACUAGAGUUAUGUGUAUACCAUUUUAGGAAAAAUUGAUAGCUACAAAUUUAAUAGAAUGUUUGACUAAGAGACACCGCUUGCAUUGAACAGGGUGGGUGAAGUUUUAUUGGUUUGUGUAUUUUAAUCUGUAUCUUAACGUAAUUAUGUAACUCAAUUUGACGUGUCAUGAACUCAUGAUUAAAACUCUUUUUGAUGUAAGGAGUUUUCUUCUAGCAGAAAAUUGAAUAUAUGUGUUUGAAAUUUAGUUUGUUUUUCAUUGAUUUCUAUCUAUGUUAAUUUCUCUAGUAUCAGAUGUUUAUUUAGGAAGCUGGCCGUGCCUUUCUCCCCUCAUGAACUCAAGAGAAACUGAACUAAUGCAUGCUAAAUUUAGUUAAAUGCUUUAAGAAUUUGUUUCAUUGUACCCAUUACCUAUAUUCUUUGCCUUCGCUUCCAUUUAUCCUGUCUACUCUUAUGUUAUCCAUCCUUUCCUUUUGGCUUAUGUAUCGGCGAAUGAUAUGCUUAAUCCUGUAUUUCUCGAAGUUUUUUUUUGCACCAACUAUUUCUUCUCAAGUAUUCUUAAAGUUGACAAUAUAUAUUAUUGCUUGGAACAACAGUGCCUUGAGGCUAUAGUUUCUCCAAAGACUUGCUUGAAUAUUAUGGUUCUUCAUUAUGACAUUGGCACUUUCUGUAGUUUUUUUUUUUUUGUGGAAUUGCAGUCCAUUUGUUUUUCUCAUUUUUAUUCCAACACUAUAUGCAGUUGCUUCUCAGUUCUUAUUUUCUUCCACUUCACUGGCAGAUGAUCUAAAUGGAUUGUGAUGCCUAGAGCAGCUUGAUACAAAGUUCGGCUGUGAAGAUGGGCAUUGUUCUUCAUGACUGCUACUUCAAAAAUUGCUGCCUAUCAUCUUCUACAGAAAUUUGUGGUUAAUUUGAGUUCUAUGAAACUCUUCCAGCUUGGAUUGCUCUGCUUUUGUUUUCAUUAGAAGUGGGAAGAAGGCUAAUAAACGAUUAGAGGUCCUUAGUAUCCAUGCUGGCAGAGAGUAUGCUUGGAUUCUGUGCAUCGAGUAAUGCCCCUGACGAGAUUUGCUGCCGAUGCAUUCGGUGUGGUGACAAUUUGUUUAGUGGCCCUAUUGAUUCUUCUUGGUCUGUUAUGCAUAAUUUACUCGUGCUACUUUCGGUCUCGCAUUCAUAGUGAAGGUUGCAUUCAACUCAGUUACUUCAGUGGUCCUUGGAUAAUUCGAAUUACAUUCAUCUUGUUUGUGAUCUGGUGGGGUAUUGGUGAAAUUAGUCGACUAAGUUUCUUACGCGGGGAAGGAGGAUUGUUGCAUGACUUGAAAUGGCAGGAAACCAUUUGCAAAUGUUACAUCGUUUCGAACCUUGGGUUUGCAGAACCUUGCCUAUUCCUCACACUCUUGUUUCUUCUUCGAGGCCCUCUUCAGAAUAUGGAGUCAGGAAUUCUCAGCCGGAAAUGGAACAGGAAAACAGCAGGAUAUAUUUUUCUCUACUGCUUCCCAGUGUUUGUUCUUCAAAUAGUUGUUAUACUUAUUGGACCCCGGUUAAACUACGAUAGCAGAUACGGUCGAAAACUGCCGAAAUAUUUUACUAGUGCAGUCACCAUUGUUACUGCAUCUAGUUCGAGAGGUGCUGCGGACAUUGCUCUCUGUACUUACCCUUUACUGAGUGUUAUCCUCCUCGGCUUUUUUGCCUCCAUCCUAACCAUCUACUUGUUUUGGCUUGGGAGGCAGAUUUUGAAGCUGGUGAUCAAUAAGAACUUGCAAAGGAGAGUAUACACAUUGAUAUUCUCAGUUUCGGGAUUCCUCCCAUUAAGGGUUAUAUUACUUGGUUUUUCUGUUUCUCGGAAACCAGAGCAGUUUUUAUUCGAAGCUCUCACUUUCUCAGCUUUUCUUGUACUUUUAUGUUGUGCUGGGUUGUGUAUAUGCAUGCUCGUCUACCUUCCGGUCGCCGAUUCUUUGGCUUUGGGCAAUUUACAGGAUUUAGAGGCGAGGAGAAGGUCGAACGAUGAUCACAAUGACACUAUCUCUCUCAUUGCCAACCAACCCCACGUCAACGAUAGCUCUAGCUCCCCCCAAAUGAGCCCUGCCCGAAACUCCGAUGCCUCCUCAACCAAGAGGGGGUCGAUCUCGUUUAGAACAUUUCAAAAAGAUGGAGCUUCUGCUGGUAUGGGGACGGCAACUUUUGUGGAACUCAGCCUAUUCUCUCCAAGCCGAGAGGUGUCCCCGCCGGGGUCACCUCCGUUGCUUGGUUGGCCGAUGCGCUCUACUUGAGAAAAAAAGGCACCUUAUUAUGGCUGCGGUUGGGGGGGUGUGGUGGGUGGUGGUGGUGGUGGUUGAAAGCCUGUGAAGAGAAACUGAGUAUUUGUCAAUUUUGCAAUGAAGAAAAAAAACACUGAUUGUAAAAAGGAAACAAAAGGGUUUAGCUUCUUCAAUAAGGAUUUUUAAUUUUUGGCUUGUGUUUUUUUCUCUUUUUUUUACCCUUUUUUUUUUUUUAAUUUCAAAUUCUAGAUAUGAUGAUGAAUUCGCUUUGUGGGUAUCUAUAUAACUCUUCAUUCUUCACACAAAUUUCCUCAUGUGAUUAAACUCUUCUAAAUGACCAUAAAAAGAAAGAAAAACGGGGUAGAAGAAACCCCUUGGAAAGUUAUUUUUUUAUCAGCUUAUUUCUUGUGCCCAUUCAAAUUAUCCCUACUCUUAAUUUUUUGGAUUUGGAAAAUAUACUCGGAUGUAGAUCAAGCAAAUAUUAUCAUACAUUUUCUAUUUAUUAAGCUUAUGUAAUUCAUUUUCUAUUUAUUAAGCUUAUGUAAUUCAUUUUCUAUUUAUUAAGCUAACAUAGUCUCUUGCUGAUCAUAUAAUUCACUUCCUGCUGAUCAUAUAAUUCACUUCCUACUUAUCAAGUUGUAUAUUUUCUUAUUUAUCAGGUUCUAAUUCACUUCCUACCUAUCAAGUUGUCUAUUUAUUAAACUAACAUGGUCUCUAGGUGAUCACGUAAUUCACUUCACUUCCUAUUUAUCAAGUUGUCUAUUUUCUUAUUUAUCAAGUUGUAAUUCAUUUCCUCCUUAUCAAGUUAUCUAUUUUCUUAUUUAUCAAGUUGUCUUUUUACCUAUGAAGUUGCCUAUAUUGAUAUACUUCAAGUUGCCUAUAUUGAUAUAGUGAAGUUGUCUUAUAAGUAGUGAAGUUGUCUACAUUGAUAUAGUGAAGAAAUUUGAGAUUUGAUUUUUCUUAAUUAUUUUCUUCUUUCUAAAUUAUUUAUUUAUAUAUUACAUAUUAUAUUAUAUUAUUUUAUUAUUCAAAUAUUACAUUCAGUUUUCAUAUUUUGAUUGUGUUCAGUUUUCAUCAGCACAAAACUCCAGUCAUCUUCUCCGUCAAAGGUAAGUCUUAACGGUAUGACGGUUUUUUCCUACUUGUUACAAUAAAUAUUAUUUUUCAUAUUUAAUAUAUAUUAAAUUUAUAAUAUAAUUAUAAUAUUUUAUGAUGACAUUACCAUGACAAAUCUUAUGAAAUUAGAAUUUACGGCUCCUCACAAUAAUGAUAUCAAUUAUUUGCCAUGGGUUCUUGAUGUUAAAAUGCAUUUAGACACCAUGAAUCUCAAAAUUACAAUUAAAGAAGAAAAUACAACGACUAGUCAAGAGAAAGCGAAAGUCAUUAUUUUCCUUCGUCAUCACAUCCACAAGGAUUUAAAGUCAGAAUAUUUAAUAGUGAAAGAUUCUCGUACGUUGUGGAAUAAAUUGAAAUAAAUGUAUGAUCAUUUAAAAUUAGUUUAUGAAGCUCAAGCUCGUUAUAAUUUGAUACAUUUGAGGCUACAAAAUUUUAAAACACUAAGUAAUUACAAUUAUAAAUUAUUAAAACCAAUUCAAAAUUAUUGUUAUGUGGGGAGAAAAUUACUGAUAUAGACAUGUUGGAAAAAAACAUCUUCUAUUUUUCAUAUCUUGAAUAUGCUCCUGAAAUAGCAAUUUCGAGAGAGGUUUUACAAAAUAUUGUGAACUGAUCUCAUGUUUUCUUGUUGUCGAACAAAAUAACGAGUUGUUGAUGAAAAAUCAUGAAUCCCGACCAAUUGAAACAACAUCAUUUCCUGAAGCAAAUGUUGUGAAUUUUAAUCGUGGACGAGGUCGUGGUCAUGUUCGAGACAGAGACCGUGGAAGAGGAAUAUAUAAUAAUUAUUUUCGUGGUGGUCGUUAUUAUAAUCCAAAUUUCAAAAGAACCACACGAAACGAUGAUCAUAAAGGAAAAGCUCCACAAACACUACAAGACUUUCUACAAGUUAUCACGUGUAUAAUAUUUCACAACCUUAUUAUUUCACAACUUGUAUUUCUCAUAUUUCACACUUUGUUGCUAUUAUCAUUAUUACUUAUUUUUCAAUUUUCGUAAUUGCAAAAUGUAUGAAAAAAUCUAUUUUUUUUAAAAAAACAUUUAUAUGGGUAUAAAAAAUUGAGACAAGAUAAAAGUACGUUUAUUUAUGGAUUUUAUGAUUUAAAUUUCAUAAAUACAUCAAAUUUCUUAUUAAAAAAUUAAUUAAUAAAUUACCUUUUAAAAAAUAUAACAACUCUAUAUUUUAAAAUGAGAGCUAAUGGUGUGUUAUAUGAAUUUAUUAAUUAUUAGAUAUACGAAAUUUCAUAUUAAACACCUAUGAUAGACAUUAAAAUAUCAAAGUUUGAUAUUUUAAUAUUCUUGAGAUGGAUAAAGAAAAUCAUCUCUUAAACAUAAAAUAAACUCAAAUUUUCUAAUGACUCUCACUCCAUCCAUAAUUAUCAAUUCAUGCUUAGCUUUUUUUUUUUUUUUGAUGUGAAUUGAGAACCACGAGACAUUUUUAAGAAAUCAAAUUAAAAAUUUUGUUUUGUGAAUCUUGUUAGUUUAGUUUAAAAGAUAAAAUUGAGUAACCAUUUUAUGAGUGGCUUAGACUGCUAACACCUUUCAACCUAAAUCUGAAUUUGACAAAUGUUUUUCUUGGUGACCAAUCACAUCUUAAUAUGAUGUUUUUAAUAUGAUGGUCGGUGGCGACUUCAAACCUAUAAGUAUUAUAAGUUGAUUUUCCUUGAUUAAGGCGGGAAACCUAUUUGACCAAUCACACUUUAGUAUAAUGGUCGGUGACGACUCCAAACUUAUUUAUUUAUUAAAAUUAAAUAAACGAAGAUGUCGGUAGCUCCGCGUCAUAAUCACGUCGCGACAACAAGAUUUAUGAUUGAUUAAAAACAAAGUUCAUGAUUUCAAAAAAUUAUAAAAGAAAAAUUGAAGACGGAAAAAAAAGAACAAAUAUGAAAUAUUUAAAUGACCAGUUUUGAGCUUUUUGAUUUUGUUACCCAGAUCAUAAAUAUUUGAGUGAUUUGUUAUUAUCUACGAAAAUUAACCAAUAUAUAAUUAGCGAAAAAACAUUUUAUAUCUUAAAACUUAAAUUACAUAAUUCAAAAACUAUGUGUAAAUCAGUAAAACAAAUGACCUUUAAGAUAACUGAAUUUGAUGCAACAACAAAAACAAAAAACAAAAAACAAAAAUCGUAAAAAACAAGUACUUUGUAUUUUGAGUAAAAAGAAAUGAAAGGUAUGCAAGUUUAUUUGAAAAUGAAAACAAUGUAUCUACAAAAGUAAAACUUUUUAAAAGUUAAUUUUCUAAUUGACACAAAAAAUUUCGAAUGAACUCAUAUUAAUUCAACAUGCACAAAUAUCAAAUACUCAGUAUUAGAAAAAAUUAAUUCAAAAAGUGAUUUGAAAAACAAAAAAUAAUAAUAUGAUAAGGAAUUGAAUUUGUUAUAUGAUGAUAUGUAUAAAAUAACAAAGAAAGAAGUCAAAAUUAUUUAAUCAAAUGUAAAGUAAUAAAAACCAAAUAAGAUAAACAAAAACAAAUGUAUAUGAAACCAAUAAUUUAAAAUAUGAAAAUAGAGAAAAAUUGGGGUUCUUUAUCUCUUAGGUUGAAAUCUCAAAACCAACUUUAUGCAAUAAUUCAACUACUUUAUUCCUAGAUUCUGUUAAGUUUGAAUCAUUCAUGUUUGGAAUUACACAAUAUUUAAUACAUGAUUUAUGAGGGCAAAAACCAGUUCUUUUUUUUAGUAAAAAUAUGGCGUACACUUUUGUCAAAAAGAAAAAUAAACUUAUUAAUCUAAUUUUUCUUUUUGGAGACAGAAAGGCAAAUGCUCCUCUAGGUUUUGCCAUUCCAAAAAAGUAACAUUUAUUAUGGUACACAAUAUAACUCAUUACCUUUUAUUCUAUUUACCAUAAACCAAUUACCUUAAUAUGUUACCCACUCACAAUUGAGUCUAACUUUUUUUUUUUUUUUUUUCUUUUAAAUUAAAGUUUGUAGCCUCUUGACGCUCUUGAUAUAAAUGAAAGUAAUUGUUUGUUAUGGGUGAUCGAUGUUAAAAUUCGUUUAGAUGCCAUAUCUAGUUAAGGAAUGGCAAAGACUAUGGUUUUUCAAAUGAUCGACAAAUAUCAUGAUUUUUUUUUGACAUCUUCACAAGGGAUUAAAGGUUGAAUAUUUUACGGUAAAAGAUCCCUAUAAUCGAUGACAAAGUUUGAAAGAAAUGUAUGAUCAUAAAAAAAAAAAAACAAUAAUGAAGGGAUAAAAGCUCUGGCAACGGAAUAUUUAAUAUAGACCGCAAGGAGGUGCGCAAGAUUUGUACUAAAAUUUUGAAAACUUUUCGAAGAACCUCACAAGGCAAGCAAAAGUAAAGCGUUUUAAACUAAGCCAAAAGCAAAAUAAUUGUUGUAAAUUUAGUAAUCUAGGAUUAAAUUAAUCUUAACUUGACAUCAAUGCCUUGAUACUUGGAGAAGGAAAAAAAUACUUAGUGAGUGAGGUUUUAGAAAUCCUUCAUGGAGAAUACAAUACAAUCAAGUAAAUUCAUUUUCUAUAAAUAGGCUCAUAACACCUCAUUUAAAACAUAUAAAACACUAAUUAGCCUCUAUUUAUUCAUUUCACCGAGAACAUGAACCAUUCAUAGCAUAGACUAAUGUAAUUUCUCAUAUCACCGACAUUCCUUAGAGAAUUUCUUGAUUCAUUUCCCAUUUCUGAAAGGUGCUAACUCAAUAUGCUCAUUCUAACGCAUUAACUAGAUUUUUACUAUCAUGUGGUCAUUUCACCCCAUAGUUGUCUUGACUCAUUAUGUGCACAUAAUAACUAGUUUAUGAUAGGAAUAUAGCUAAUGGUUUACUCGCAUACAUAACAUACAAUCAUCACAUACAAACUUUAUCUCAUAAACUUUCUUUUUAAAUAAACAAGCUAUUUAAUCAACAUCAACCACAUCACAUGAACAUUUCAUUACAACAUAAAGACUAAGAACCAAUGCUUUUAGAACACUGGCACUCACAAACAAAAAUUGCUAAAGUUGUAUUUUUACAAAAUUCAUCAAAGCUCAGUUGAAAUUGUGAAAUUAGAUUAUGAAUAAAAGAAAGAAUGAUAGUAAAGAAUAAACAAAAUGUUUAAAACGAUGACUUUUCUUUUGUUUAUAGUGAAAAGAUGAGAAGCUAAAUAUUCCCGUUUUAUCACCCUUUUCUUUUUCCGUCUGUUUCCAUAUCGUCGAAGCCAAACCCAGCGGACAAAAGAACACAGUGAGAGAAAGAAAAAGGAGAGUGUAGCAGCCGACGAAAACACACAGAGAGAGAAAUUAGCCCAGCGAUUUGCGGCGUUCCUGCGUUCGUUGGAGUCGGGUAUCCAACGGUAUAGCCGCGGGCAGGAUAGGACGUUUUCGAGCCGCGCUUCCGGCGAGUUUCACGGUGAGUUUCAAGAUACAAUUACAGCUUGGUUGUAAUCAUAACAAGUGGUAUCAGAUACCACUUCUAUUCAUAACAAGUGGUAUAGAGCAUGGUAUAGUUAUAACAAGCGAACGCCGAAAAAUUUUACAGUUCUAUUUGCCAUCCAUAGUUUUCUUUUCCCUACUUACGGCUAAAAACCAGUGGACUAAUCCACUGGAUUGUGAAAAAAAUUUGAAUUUCUUCCAUGGGCGACCCAACCGGUUCGAAGCUCGGUUUUGUAUAUUUUAUUACUUUCUCUUUCUUAUUUUGUGCGCCUUUUCACUUUGAGGUCGUUUUCAUAUUGGUGUGUCGCCUUCUCUGAAGCGUCAUUGAUUUUUUCAAUUAAUAGGGAUAAAGAAAUUUGCACACGAUUCUUAGCUUUAAUUUUAACUCCAUUUCCUGAACUUUUUGCUUUGUCUCUGCAUUUUUUAGGGUUGAUUUUGGAAGAAGAAAGCUGUAGAGAGUUAUGUCUUGCAGCACUUUUAACCUUGGAGGAGGGUCGCUCAAGUUUUGUAGCAUUAAUAAAGGCAGCCAAAUAAAGAAUCAUCUUCGGUUCUUUAAUGGGUUUGUCUCAAAUGGUCGAUGCAAUUUAGUCUCUAACUCUGCAAUUUCUUUCUCUGUUGGAUCCAUCAGCUUCAAUUCUCUUCCACCUCAGGAUUUUCAAUUUCACAAUCGUUCACGUUUCUCCUCCCAUGUCAUCAACUGCUCUACUUUUAACUCAGAGGCGUCAAUCUCUUCUAAUAAAGCAAAUGGUAAUUUGGGGUCUUUGGAAAAGUUGGUCAUGUUCGGAUGAUUUUGAUGUUUGUUGUGGAAACUGAUAUUUGAACCUUCUUUCUUGGUUAACUAAUACUUGCAGAUGAACGAGUUAUUGUAUUGGUGAUUGGUGGAGGAGGGCGAGAACAUGCGCUUUGCUAUGCAUUGCAGCGCUCUCCUUCCUGUGAUGCUGUGUUUUGUGCGCCAGGCAAUGCUGGGAUUUCGAGCUCAGGCAACGCCACUUGUAUUUCUGAGCUUGAUAUCAAUGAUAGUGCCGCUGUCAUUUCUUUCUGUCGAAAAUGGAAUGUAGGAUUGGUUGUUAUAGGCCCUGAGGCCCCUCUUGUUGCAGGGCUUGCAAAUGAUUUAGUUAAGGCUGGGAUUGCUACUUUUGGCCCCUCAUCUGAGGCUGCUGCUUUGGAAGGCUCCAAAAAUUUCAUGAAGAGAUUGUGUGAUAAAUAUGGAAUCCCCACUGCAAAGGUUUGUUUGGAUCUUAGCUCCGUACUCUUUGAACUUGUUUGAUUAGUUCCUAGCGAAGUUUAUGCCUGCAGAUUUUUCACUAUUUGUUUACACAUCCAAACUUUGGUACACCAAUCACUUUCAAAAUGAGUUUUCAUUAGUAUGCAUCAUGCUCACCAACACUGUCAUAUAAACUGAAAUUUAUUUCAUAUCUCCUUGGACUGCAUUGGGGUUUGGAUAAUCUCGCGGGAUUGAUUGAUCUACUCAUCCCAUCAAGGGAUGAGUUAGACACUUCUGCCCACUACGAAAAGAAAUAAGUACGUCAAGAAAACUUUUGAGUGCAAUGUUUGAUCGUCGCAUUGCAAUAUAGAGUUGGAAGUUUCAAAGGCUUCAGGAAACAUUAAUGAAUUGAAUACCUUUUCUUUGUGUACCUUUCUCUUAUGUCUUUGCUUAGAUCUGACUAUCCUUUGCCUUUGCCACAUGGAUUACUUGUCACAGUAUCAAUCAUUUACAGACCCUUCUGCAGCAAAACAAUAUAUUCAAGAACAAAGUGUUCCGAUAGUCAUCAAAGCAGAUGGAUUGGCUGCUGGAAAAGGAGUUAUUGUUGCUACGACGUUGGAGGAGGCCUAUGAAGCUGUUGAUGCAAUGCUUGUGAAGGGUGCUUUUGGUUCAGCUGGUGGCCGUGUCAUUGUUGAAGAAUAUCUGGAAGGGGAAGAAGCAUCCUUUUUUGCACUUGUAGAUGGAGAGAAUGCUAUACCCUUAGAAUCUGCACAGGAUCAUAAAAGAGUUGGGGACGGUGACACGGGACCUAAUACAGGUGGUAUGGGUGCUUACUCCCCAGCUCCUGUCAUAACAAGGGAACUUCAAAGUAUAAUCAUGGAAUCUAUAAUUCUACCCACGGUAAAAGGAAUGGCAGAAGAGGGUUGCAAGUUUGUUGGGGUUUUGUUUGCUGGUCUUAUGAUAGAGAAGAAAUCUGGCUUGCCAAAAUUGAUUGAAUACAAUGUACGCUUUGGAGAUCCCGAGUGUCAGGUUAGUUGACUGAGCUAAAAUGUUUUUGCUUGUAAUUUUACCAUGUGCACCUGCAGAUAUAGAAGGAGUUGGUUGUUACUCUAUGGAGCAUUGGAAGUUAUCAAAUGACUGAACUUUUGUGAUCAAUAAUCGAUAUGUCACACUUGAAUUUGACACCAUAUAGUAUAGGUGCUUUCAUUGUAGCUAAAAGUACAAAAUAAUGCGCUUCUUUUGAUAAAGAUGUAAUUAUGAAGGAAAUUAAACAAAGGGCAACUUGUGGCUAAGUUUUCUAGGCCUAUGUGUCUAGUUUCUUUUCUUCAUUGUUCGCUAGGUUUUACUUCUCUUGAUGAGGAUUUCUUGUUGUUUGACUCUUUCACGACCCUUUUUCUUGACAUGUUACUGAUCAUAAACCUCUGGCUUCGAUGAAAAACAGGUGCUGAUGAUUAGGUUGGAAUCAGACCUUGCAAAAGUUCUUAUGGCAACAUGUAGAGGAGAGCUAAGUGGGGUUUCACUGGAUUGGUCCCCAGGGUCUUCAAUGGUGGUCGUAAUGGCGAGCAAGGGAUAUCCUGGGGCAUACGAGAAGGGAACUGUGAUUCGAAACGUUGAAGAAGCAGAGCUUGUUGCUCCAUCUGUUAAGGUCUUUCAUGCUGGCACUUCUUUCGACUCUGAAGGCAAUUUCAUUGCCGUAGGUGGCCGCGUUCUUGGGGUUGCUGCAAAGGGAAAAAACAUAGAAGAGGCACGGGAUAGAACAUAUCGAGCAGUUGAGGAAAUCCGUUGGUCAGGUGGGUUCUACAGGAAGGAUAUAGGGUGGAGGGCUCUAGAAAAACAAUUUUCUUUGAAGGAAUAAUGCAGAAGUUUGAAAAAGUUUUGGCAUUGUAUUAGUGAAUAGGAACAUGUAUGAGUUCACAUCCCUAUGAAUAAAUUCACAAGGCCCAACUACUAUCUACUUCUCACUUAUUUCGUUAGUUUGUUCCAGUUUUAUGAAAAAAUGGUGCAUAUUCUUGACUCUUGAGCUUGGACCAUUGUCAUUUCCCUUCACAUUUCAAUCCAUAUAUACAUAAACACAAACAGAAAUGAUCUUGGAUGGCUACUGAAGAAAUCAACCAACAAAAUACUCAUAGAAUCAGUUUUAAAUAAUUGCCCAAAUUCAGGUCCAAAAAAUAUCGACAAUCCAUCCCACUGUAAUAUUAAACCUUUCUUGUAAACAAGAAAAAUAAAAUUUACCAAAUAUUAUUCUAACUGGUACUCUAACUAGUUAACUAGUUAAAAUGUAAUCAAAUGGAUAUUAAUCUCAGAAUUUAAAGCCGAAUGUGAUAUUUUAGGAGUUGGUUUGGAUAUUAAGUUAACUAUGAUUGUUGAUGUGGAUGCUAAGUUGACUAAGAUUGUUUCUAGAGUGGAGACUAAUUUAGGUUAUGUUUGAGAUUAUUGUAGUUUUUAUGAUCUGAUUUUAGAGUUGUGACAAGUAAAAUAGUGUUUAGUAAAGUUUAAUUUUAAAAGAGAAGAAAUUGGUUACUACGUUUAAUAAUAAAUAAUAAAAUUGUGUAAUUUAGUUAUACAAACAAAAAGAGAUUAUCAUCUCAAUGUUUUUUAUAUUCAUUUGUAUAUUGUAAUUUAUUAUAACAUAAUUGUCUUGAAAUAUAUUUGAUUUGAAUUGCAAUUAAUUUUGUUUUAUCUAAAUUUUCUAUAAAAACUUCAUUAUUAUUAUUGUUAUUAUUUUUGGUUAAGAUUGUCCACUAAUUGUUUUUUUAAAUUCUAAAAAUAAUACGAUGAAUUAUAUGACGUGCUUAGGUAAGAGUUUUUAGUCUCAACUUCUUUUUAUAUAUUUGAGAUUUAUAGAAUAUCAAAGAUAUCAAUUGAAGCUAUUGUUUUCACUUGCCAAAUUCUCUUCUUCUCCAUCUCUUAUCUUAGUACCAAAGCAAUGAGAGUCUAAUCGACCUUAAUUUUUGACCCUCCUUCUAAUGAUUGCAAACAACUCAUUCAUCCAAAAUCUCCCUAGUCCAUUUGGUCGGAUUUGUCCCUACUAAUUUAAAAGCUAUAACAAUCUCAAACGAAAUCUAGAUGUGCUAUUAUUUUUUUCUCUAUCCUAUGCAUGUGACAUUCUCCUUACAAACAUCACAUUGUAUGGUUGAGAGAUCCUAAUAAUGAUAAUUUUCACACUUUUAUUGUAGGGGCAAACAAGGGAAUUCGUACGGUCUCUUUGACAAAUAUCAUUAUUAGGAUGUUUUCACUUUUAGCCUCAAUUCCUACAAUUUGGAACUGUGUCUUUGACAAAUAUGAUUUUGUGAAGAUAAUUUAACCAUAUUAAUAAUAAUGAUAGUUCCCACUUUUUGUAAGGACAAAAGAGGGAAUUCACACGUUCAAAAAGUCCUUUUAGGGAAUAAAAAGAAAAACAAAAACCAACCUAAAGCUCUUUCAUCCCCACUAUUUCAUGACUUAAUCAUUGCCUUUGAAUAAUGGCUUUACACAAAUCAGCAUUUCAUUUUUACCUUCCUCACGCUCACUCCUCACUCUCACUCCUCACUCCUCGCUCUCAACUGAGAUACUGAUUUCAAUCUUCAAUUUUCGCAAAUGGGUAGGAAGAAAUCCAAAACUAUAGAAGAAGUCGGUGACGAUUUUUGCUUCACUUGUAAAGAUGGAGGACUCCUCAGAUUCUGCGACUUCAAGUAAGUUCCAUUCCACUUGAAAAAAAUAUGCCCAUUCCUUGUUUUGUUUUGUUCAUGCCAGAUUUUUCUUAUGAAAAGUGAUUGUGUCAGCAAAAAGAAUGAUGAUGUUGCUGAUGCUUAUAGAGGAAGUUCAUGCAUGGAAAACUGGGUCAUCACCGAAAGAACGAAGUGGAAAAAGAAAAUAAACUAAAUAUAAUCUGCUGGUCUGUUUGUUUGUUAAAAUUGGGUUCUUAGCAGUUUAGUUUAUGUUUCAUUGAAGCAUGAGUAGUUUUUUGCGUCCACAUUGUGAUCUUCAGCGAAAGUUUCUCCUGAAAUUAUAUUGGGAAAGUACACUGAGAAACUUUUAUUGAGUAUGAUGGUCAUGGUUAAUUAUUUAGUGUCCGAUAGUUAAAUCAAGUUCGGCUGUCCUAAUCACCGCUCUACGUCUGGAGAUGUUCUAACCUUUCUUUCACCCUUUCAAGUUUUCUCCAUAAAAAGAAAAAUCCAGGUUUUGUCGGUUUAUGAUGUUCAUGAGUGAAGAUGUAUGGAUGUGAACGCAUUUUUUAGUUACCAUGUUUGAUAGAAUUGUGUGUGCAUGUUCUGUAUAUGUUUACUGGGAAACUGUUGUUAAAAGCUAAAAUUACUUUAAGAACGUUCUAUUCUGUCUAGAAUGUUUGAAGAUGUGAUAAGUAGAUUUUCUUCUUUAGUUUUUUUUUUCUUUAUACAAUUAGAAGGAAUUUGGACAUCUUAUUUAAUCGCUUACAUAAUGAUUUCAGAGGUUGCCUUAAAGCGUAUCACCCUGAAUGUGUUGGAAGGGAAGAAUCUUUUGCAGAGUCUGAAGAUCGCUGGAUCUGUGGUAAGAUGCUAGUGCGGUUAAGAUUUUUACUUUUAAGAGUGAUAUGUGUGGCAUGGGUGAAUUGUGGUUUGUUGUAAUUAAAAAGUUGUAAUGCGAUUAUGAUUUUUACUUUUAAGAUCUCUUUAUCUUUCAUUGUAUUCAGAGUGUUAGUCUCUUUUUAUUAUAUUAUAUUAAUGAAAAGUAUGUUUCCGUUUCAAAAAAGCUAAACAUUUGCUGGCUGCAGAAUAGAAAGUUCAUGAAUCCUCUAUUGCCUUCUGAGUUAUAUUAUUAGGUCUCAAGUCUUUCAAACUCCCUAAGCAUUAAAGAGGUGCUUUUAUUUUUAUUGCAGCUUAUUCGAUAUCUUAUGCUUGGAAAAAGUUUCUCUUCAUUUUCUCAAACUCUUGAGUUUACUUUGAAUCCAGAUAGGUUGAAGAAAAUGUUUCAAAUCUUUUGGUCCCUCUUUGUUAAGCAAGCAAUUGAUAAUAAUGCUUUUCAGCAGAUCCUGAUUUUGUAUUCAUUGAAGGAAUUAGUCAUUGCCUGAAGACCUACACCUCAUCAUUCUCUUUCAUCAGUGCAUGUGAGGAUGAUCUGAUUCAUUACAUCAUCUGAAGUUAGCUUGAGUAGUGUGGAAUCUUUCUUUUGGUUUUGAAGAUUUUUUUGCUGAAGAUUCCAUAUGCACCACAAAAGGGAAUCAGACCAUCCUACUAUUCCUUUCUUUCCAAAUGCUAGGAUCACUCGGAAUCAGACCAUCCUCACCCAAGUACUAGGAUCACUCCACAAAAUAAUCUCUUACUCUCACUUACCCUGUAUUUAUAACAAGUUGUAACCACCCUAGUAACCAUAUUUACACAAUAACUACUAGUAACCGCCCUUACACAAUAACUACUAGUAACUUCCUAUCUAUCUAAUUAGCCCUUAUACCCCUUAAUUAACAUCAUACUAAAUAUCUGAUACCUAACAGACCGUUUCUCUCAAAUUAACUGGAUUAUCUUGUUGCUUAUCUUUGUUAUCGUUCUUAGUAUUUUCUCGUCUAUCAGGAAGUUGAUCUGAACCAGCAAUAGAAUAUCAUCACUAUGUGAUUGUUUCCUCUUCUUUUUUAUUUGUUCGUACUGUCUCCUCGCUUUCAAUUCAGAUUUUUUACAUAUUUGAAAGGUUCAGUAUCUUGAUUAUUUGAGUAUAUCUGUUGAUACCUUACAUAUUUUCUCUUUGGUUCGAGGUUCUUUCAACAUUUUUCUUCAUUACUUUUCUAGCUUUGCUUUUAGGUUUAUUGUUUUCUAACACCAGUUUCCAGAACACAUUGGGAAGUGUGUGCUUGCUUUUUAUUAUAUCUAGCAGUCUUUUUUGUAUGCUUGUGCCAUUUUUAAAUUUUUGGUCAUCCUCAAAUCUGUACAUUAUGUAUCAGGCUGCCAUUCAUGCUUCCUCUGCCAUAAAACCUCAAAGUUCCGUUGUGUUGGCUGCCCACAAGCUGUAUGUGGACGAUGCAUUUACAGUACCGAGUUCGUAUGUAUUCGAGGCAGUAGAGGAUUUUGCAACCACUGUUUGAAGCUUGCAUUACUUAUAGAAGAUGGGAAAGAUGUUGACAUUGAUGGGGUAUGUUGUAUGCUGACUUGUCUUCUUUGUGAAUUUUAGCCCUAGUCCUUUGCACAUGCAUUGCCAAGUAUCCUGAACAAAUCUCUCUCUCUCUCUCUCUCUUUGGUUCUAUCCUAUUGUUUUCUUCAUUUAUUUCAACUACCAAGACAAAUGGAAGAAAUGCAUUAUAAGUAUUUCUUGAAGAACUUUAUUAAAAUAAAUAUUUUUUCAAAGAACCAUACUAAUGUGCAAACAAAUAUGUGAGCUCAAAAAAGAAAAAAAAGAAUUCACUUAUGCCUUUCCAUAUGUCUGUUUAAGAGGAUUGCUCACUCUUUUUCUACUUGAGUCUUUUCCAUAUGCCUAUAUUACUUUGUUUUUUGAUUAAAAAGGAAAAUAAUUCUUAAAAUGACUUCUUACUUGAGGCACCGUUUCCAACCCAAGAAAUUUAGGAUGAAAAUAGGUUGACUAUGAUGUGCUUCAAAAUUCUGACCGUCAUAUGUAAAUUUCUAAUUAUUCCAUUUAAAGUGAUCACUUUUUUUAGUACAUAUUGGGGGUGGAGGAUUUGAACCCGAGAGCUCUUGUCCUCAAGUACAUACAUGUGUACGUUGAGUUGAGCUUUUGUUGGCUUUUGUAAUUAUUCCAUUGGUGACAUUUUACUCCAUUGGUUCCCCUUCUUUUAGUCAGGGUGAUUUUGUUGGCUGUUUUGUUUUUGUAUGCAGGUAUUUAUUAAUUUUUUCUUAAUGAAAGUUGUUAUUUCUAUAGAAAAGAAAAGUUAGAAAGUUUUAAGCCCUAUACCUCUUUGCAAAUGACAUUUUGUUCCAUUUUAUUCUUCUAAUCAAAUAUGCCACAAAUUGCAAAAAAAACCAGCUUGAUCCAACAUAUGAUAUUUUUCUUGAAAUUUGGGAUUGUCAACUUUCACACUCUAGUCGAAAGGUCAAUCCCAUACUUGCAACUACUUGAUGCGAAUUGGGCAGAUGGUAACAUUUUUACCCUUAUGAAUCACAUAUACUUCAUGUGAGACAAAUAAUUUGUAUCAGAAACGUAUUAGAUAAUGAUACUUCCAGAUACUUCUCAAAUAUGUAUCUGACACGUGAUUUGGCGUAUUUGUUUUUGUGCUGAUGUAUCUGACAUGUGAUUUGGUGUAUUUAUUUAUGCAGAUGUACGUGACAUGCGAUUUGGCAUAUUUGUUUUUAUCAUAACCUUUUUCUAAAGAAAAAAAGAUAAGCAACUCGUCUAAUAUUUUCCAACUCAAAGCAAUCUAUCUAAAAUGCCCAUCCUCUUGUCCAAGAGUAAAAGAAUAAAAUAAAUAUAGAAUCAUUUGAUCCUCAUUAUCACAUUUGAGUCCCCGCAAAGUCUCGUGAAAUAUAACCCUCUUGAACAUCUUCAACACUUUAACUAAGAAUUUCUUUGUUUAUCUUGAUGCUUUCUUCUAAUCAUUUUCUUCUUCUCUGAUCAAUUUGUCUCUUUUCUAUUGCAUUCUAUUGGUUAUUAUACUUAAAUAUUUUUUAUGUUGCUUUUUUGUAUUGCACUUCAAUUCAAUGAUUGUAUUGUAUCUUGCACCAUUGCCAUUAAUUUGACACUUUAUGAUUUUUUGUGGAUUUAGUGAAUUACAUUUAGUAACAUAACUUAUGUUAGAUUUACGUUAUCCUAUAUUUUUUCUAAGAAAAAAAUGUAUCUUCAAAUGUAUAAUAUCUCUGUUUUCUAAAAAUUGACUUAUCGCCAUAUCCUAUCAUAUUCAUAUCCUGUAUUUGUAUCUGUGUUUGUGCUUCAUAGUUUUUACUCCUUAAAUUUAUAAUUCCCAGACCAUUUUCCUCACAAUGUCUUGACUUUUGACACAAAACUCCACUAACAAAAAGGAGGGAGAUUAAUGUUAGGGGAGAGAUUAAUAUUGUUCUUCUUGCCAUUUACCUAAUAUUGCAUCAAAUGGCUUCCAGUAAAACCUUGAAUAUUUUUCAUUUCUAAAUUCUCCUUUUUGUCCCGAUUCCCUGACAACUUGAUUCCAUAACAACUUUCAUGGAUGUGCAUGGGCGGUUAUAUCUCUGGUUUGGUCAAUCAAACCUUAUUGCUCCCUUUUAAUCUUCUUAUGAGUUACCUUUUUCCUUGCUGAUUUGCAGACAAAGGUUGACUUUAAUGAUCGUGAUACGUAUGAAUGUCUAUUCAAGGAAUACUGGGAACUAAUGAAGAAAAAAGAGGGUUUGACAGCGGAACAUGUUCAUAAAGCGAGUAACUUAUUGAAGAAGGGAAGGAACUACAGGUGUGACUUCAAUUCAAAUGAAAUUGAGUUAUCAGAAGAAGACACUGAUGAGGGUGAAAUAUCAGACUACGAAGAGUUGGUGUAUACAGAAGAAGAUGAUCAUGCAAUGGUGAGAAAAUGUAAAAGAAGAAAGCAGAAGCUAGGCUCAACGAGAAAAAAGAUGAAAUCAAGUAACAAAGAGUUCAGUGGAUGGGGGUCAAAACCAUUGAUAGACUUUCUUUCAAAAAUUGGAAAAUAUACGAGCAAAAAGUUAACACAGCAUGAUGUGACUUCUAUUAUUACAGCCUAUUGUAAAGAAAACAAGCUUUUCCAUCCUCAAAAGAAGAAGAGGAUUCUUUGUGAUGCCAAACUACAAUCUGUUUUUAGAAGGAAAACAGUGAAUGUAAAUAGUGUAAACAAGCAUCUAACUGCUCAUUUUGCUGAAAACAUGGAGGAAUCAUCAGAGGAUGAGAGUACAAGUAGUAUAGAAAAGAAUGAUGUGGCUUAUGUGAGGCCUAGUAAGUUGGGGUCAGUCAGAAAACCUCCUGAGCAGAACCCAUCAGAUAUGUCACAUAAUUGUUCUGCUGCUAUUAUUGUAGCAAACAUCAAACUAGUCUAUCUGAAACGAAGUCUAGUAGAGAAUUUUCUCGAAGAUGAAGAAUGUUUUAAAGCAAAAAUGAUGGGAAGCUUUAUACGAUCAAAAUCUGAUCCCAAUGACUACUCACAGAAAAAUUUUUACCAGUUGCUACAAGUUACAGGUAUGAACUAUAUUUGUUGCUUAGAUUAGUGAUUAAAUUUAAGAAAAUAUAUGUAAGCUCAAUUUUCAAGGCAUCAAACCCUAGAACAAAAUCAAAUAAAAUUCCCAAACAUUCAGGGAGUAAAAAUAUUUAGUCAAUCAUGGAAAAUAGGACCAAUUAAAAUUUCUAAAAGUAUUUGGUCCAAAAAUUCUGCAAGAGAAUCAUAAAGACCAAAAUUACAUCCUAGUUUAAAAAAGAAAACAAAUAAGAGAAGUAGAACCCUAAAACACCAAAAAUUCUGGAAGAGAAUCAGACAGUUCAAAAUUGCUUUUAGAUUUUUUGUGCUGGACUGAGAAUUCGGUGUCCUAUUCCUUCGGGUUUGUUGUCAUUUAAUCAAUAGGGAAAUGAUGGAAGUGACCUCCCUUCUUUCUUUGCUUGAGGGUUGUUCUUUUAGGGAAGAGAGAAGGGAUGUUCGUGUUUAGAGUCCCAACCCUAGUUAGGAUUUUUCAUGUAAGUCCUUGUUUUCCUUGUGUUGGACCCCUUUCCCACUAGAGAGUCUGUUUUUGAUCUAGUUUGGAGGAUUAAGUGAUGCAUACCAAAUGAGAGAUUAUUUUUCAUGUUUAAAAGUUAGGAAAACAAGUACUCUAUUUAUAAUUGAAAAAGAAACUAAUCCUAAUCCUAAUUAAUAAAAGAAACUAAUUUUAAUCCUAAUAAACCUUUUGAACCAAUCUUUUUUUGAAAUGGAAGCGAAUCUCUUUAGUAAUAGAUAAAAAAGUACAUGAGCUCAAAGUACAAGAGGGUUAUACAAGAGCUAUAAAAAACUAGGGAUCGGCAGUCACAUCCGGAUAUCUCAACUAGGUUGACACCCCUAUAACGAUCCCAUCAUUUCCACAAAAACAAAAGAAAAAAGGAGAAAACAAAUUCAAUACUAAGCCAUGAUAGUGGAGCUUUACUAGGUCAUGACUAAUAACGAGUUUAGGACAAUAAAAAGUAAGCAUAAGAAAGAGAGGAGAAAGUAAAAACAGAAUAAAAUAAUAGCAGCAAAAUUAGGUUGGAAAAAUAAAAGCUAUCCAAUUUAAGUUGCGAUCUUGGAUUCUGUAGCUUCCGAAAAACAUUUUUGUGUGCUAUAUCAAAAGGAUUAAAACAACCCAUUGAUUUAUCAUGAAAGACUCUUUGGUUCCUUUCAAACCAAAUUUCUGCCAAACGAGCUUUUAGCACAUUUUCCCAGAGUAGUGUAGCUUCUUCAUUCAAGCUGGAACCUCUUAAAAAAACCUCCUCGCAUUUUCUCUAAAAUUUGCACCAAAAACCCAAGUCAGAUUAAACUCUUUAAACAAAUUUUCCCAACACUUGGCGGAAUAUUUACAGAAGAUGAUAGUGCUGGGGAUAUUCUGUAUUCUGUAAACAGCAAACAAAUGGAGGGAGAAAGGCAGCUGUUAGGCAGUUUAUGUUGCAUAACUGAGGAUACAUUCAAAUUUCCCACCAUCAUGAUUCAAACGAGGAUAUUCACCCUUUUCGAACUGCAGACUUCCAAAUGGCUUUGUAGAGUGAUUAGCCCAAUGGGGAGGAAGGGGAUAAUUUUAUAAUUUCCUCAUCCUUUAACAAAUGGGGGAAAAUAAUUGACCAUGAUGCCCAUGAAAAGUCCCAAUGAUCGGCAACCAUUGGGGAGUAUGGCAUUUCUGAAUAGCCGAGGGAAGGCAGCAUUAAAAGGUAUCUCACUCUCCCUUGGGUCUAAUCAAAAGACUAUUCUCUCAUUUCCCAAUAUAAAGAGAGGUAGAGAGAGAAGUGCAAGGGAGAGUGAGAUGGAAACACAGACAACAAAAGAGAUGGAGAGAGAAUACGAUAGAAAGAGAGAUAGAGAGAGAAACAUGACGGAGGGUGACGUGGAGGGAUAAACUUGAUGGAAAGAGAGGUUGAGCAAAUGGCUACAGUCAGAAGACAGCCAGCAGUUGGAAACGUCAGUAGUUAGUUUAUUGUUUGAAAUUAAUUUUCUUAACUAAUUUCCUCCAUGGUGAUUGGUUAAAUUACUGAAUAUUUUGUCCUUUCAUGCAUUAGUUAUGCUUCAUGCUCAUGCAUACUUUAUUUGUCCAUCAUGAAAUUUAUUAUUGAAUUUUCACCGACAAUGACUACACCAAGUGAACCAAAUUUUGAUAAACCAAAUUGUGGCGUCAGAUAUCUAUUUAUUUUCACUUUGAAGGUACUAAGUCAAGCAGUUUAAAAUGAAGGUCCAGCUCAUAGUACGAUGAACCUUCAUUCAUAAUGUUCUUUUCUUUUCCCUAUUGGGAAUAUUUACGUGUUACUUCUUUCAAGAUUAAAAGAAAGAGUUUUUCGAAAUUAUUUCCAUGCACUUUAGAUACCCCCCUAUGGAACUGUGUUCUGUCAUACCUUUCUGUUCCCGGAACUGAUUGAUUUUUGUUAUUGCUUAUUGAAGUGCUGCUGGCAAUUUAAAAAUUACCGUGAUUUGCUCUAAACCUUUUUCUGCACCAUCUCAGGCAUAAAGAUGGACUCGAGCAGGAGCAACACUGGGAAACAGGGGAUUCUCUUGCAAGUUGCUAAUAGACUAGACUACAUACCAACCUACAAUUUAUCAGAUGAUGACUUUUUGGAGGUAGCAAAUACAUUAUUUAAUUUGUUUAAUAUUUUGAUAAAGUUCAUAUCCCACAGUUGAGGGUAAUUUUCAGUUCCCACAGUUUUUUUGGAAAACUACUUUUUGGUUUCCAAGUUUUUAGGAAUAGGUGAAGAAUAGUCCUUUUCAUUAAUUAGAUAUUUUAUAAUAUGCUGUUUUCAAAGAUAACUUAAUGAAUUAAAUUAUUUACAAAUUUAACAAAAUGUCAGUGUCUAUCACUGAUACACAGUACCAUUUUGCUAUAUUUGAAAAUAUUUUCACUAGUUUAGUAUUUAAAACAAUUUCCUUAUAUUAUAUUAAAUAAAUAUAACAAUGAAACUAAUUAAACUAGUAAUUAAAACUUUUUCACUUUCCUUUCUCUUACCCAGCCCCCUCCUCCACCGGCACUCCUUUUUCUUUCUCUUCCUCUUCUUCCUCCUCUUUCUUUGUCCUCAUUCACCUCUUCCUUCAUUCUCAUUCUUCUUUCCCAUUAACCACAAACAAAUCAUUCCAUUCCUCAAUCUUCCCACCAUCCAUCUUCAACUUCAAGUUCUCUUCCACCAUGUACUCCAGUCUAUACAUGAUCGUGUUGCUGCUCACUUUCCGUAGUCUAUUAGAGCUCCCAUGGUUAACUUCUCAGGUAAUAGUUCAAGUCUCUUUCCCUUUAUCCAAACCCAACCACCCAUCUUCAUCUUCAAGCAUCUUCAAGAUUAAAGGAAUGUUUUGUUUGUGUUAGUAGGGAAGAAGAAUGAGGAUGAAGGAACUGGAAGAAGAGGAAGAGAAAGAAAAAUGGGUGCCGGUGGGGUGGGGAUUGAGUAAAUAGAAAGGAGAGAGAAAAAGUCUCUCUAAUUAUAAGUUUAAUUAUUUUUAUUUUAUUUAAUAUAAUAAAAAUAUCCAAUGAAUGAAAAGAGGGACAUUUUGAACCCGUUCUUCAGAAGAGAGACUAAAAUGGCCAAAUUGAAACCCAUAGGGAUGAAAGACACCUUUUUUUAUAAACUUGGGGACCAUGAAGGUUCUUCUUCCACUUUAUAAGUUACUUUGGGGGAUACAGUUUUUCUAGUGACCUUUGAAAUUUGAUAGCCAUGGCUCUAAUAUCUCUUUUGGGACAGGGAUUCAUAGAAGUUGCUUUGCUCUCUGUGACUGAAGAUCUUAGACUUAUGAUCUCUUGAUAGGAAGAGAGACCUUUUCAUAAUUUUAAAACUAUUGAAAGAGAUAAAAAGAAAUAACAUCGAGUUAUGUGGAAACCCUAGUACAAGGAGAAAAACCACGAUAGAACUUUUCUAAUUUCUUAUGAAUGAAAUAAUACAAGGGGAAAGAAUUAAUAAGUAACAUGAGCCCUAGCAAAAAGAGGAAAGAAAAUAGGGUUAAAUACCCUUGGGGUUUCAACAUACAACAAGCUCAUACAUUCUAUCACUCCCCCUCUAGUUAGGAUGUGAAUGUCGAUAAGUUGGUAUGAGAAGCCCUUUGGUGAGAAUAUCAACAAUCUGUUGACUUGAGGGAAUGUAAGGAAUGCAUAUGCUACUAUUCUUUAAUAAAGUAUCUAGCAACUUCCACAUGUUUAGUUCUAUCAUGUUGGAUUGGGUUAUUGGCGAUGAUGAUAGGGAGUUUAUUAUCACAAAAUAAUUUUAUAGUCCCGAUGAAGAUCAUAUAGAACCUUCAUUAGCCAAAUUUUCUCACAUAUCCUCAAACUCAUAGCCUUAUAUUCAGCUUCAGCUCCGCUUUACUCCUCCAUGUUACAAGAUUAUCCCACACAAAAGUACAGUACCUGAAGUGGAUUUUUUGUCAACAACAAACCUUGCUCAGUAUGAAUCAGUGUAGGCCUCAAUGCACCUUCUGUCCGUUACCAAGAGUCGUUUUCAAAUACCUGAGAAUUCGGUUACCCACAUCCAUAUGUUCCUUAGGAGUCUACAUAAACUGGCUAACAAUACUGAAUGCAUAGGAGAUAUCUGAUCUUGUGUGAGAUAGGUAAAUCAACUUUUCCACCAAGCGCCGAUAUUUUUCUUAGUCAAUUGCAACUUUAUCAACAAAAUUUUCCAGUUUAGCAUUGAACUCAAUAGGGGUAUCAGCAGGUUUGCAUCCUAUCAUACAUGUUUCCGUCAGCAAGACAAGGGUGUACUUUCUUUGGGAUACUGAGAUACCUUCUUGAUCUGGAUACCUCCAUUCUAAGGAAAUACUUAAGAUUUCCCAAGUCUUUAAUGUCAAAUUCAUUCCCCAUCAUUUUCAAUUGGACAAUUUCAACGGUGUCAUCCCCUGAUAACAUAGUAUCAUCAACAUAGACAAUCAACAGAACAAUCUUCCCAUACUUAGAUACCUUUGUAAACAAAGUGUGGUCAUAGUGUCUCCAUUUGUACCCUUGAGAACAAAGGUGGUAAACCUAUCAAACAAUGCCCUUGGAAUGUUUAUGUCCAUACAAGGAUUUUUGAAGCGUGCACACUUGAUGGUCAAGCUGGGAUUCAAAGCUUGGAGGGGGACUUAUAUUAACUUCUUCCUUCAGAUCUCCAUUUAAGAAUGCAUUAUUAACGUCUAACUGAGACACCAAUCUCUAUUUACUGCAACAGACAGAAAGAUCCUUAUUUAACUUUGCAACAGGAGAAAAAGUCUCAAAGUAGUCGACCCCAUAAGUUUGAGUGAAUCCUUUUGCAAUUAACCUGACCUUGUGUCUGUCAAGAGUUCCAUCUACUUUGUAUUUGAGGGUAAACACCCACGUGCAUCUCACCGUUUUAUGCCCCUUAAGAAAGUCUUGUUAUUUUCAAGGGCUCUCAUUUCUUCCAUGACCACAACUUUCCACUCAAGACACUCUAAUGCAAGAUGAAUAUUCUUAGGUCUAGUGGUAGAGUAAAGACUAGUUGUAAAGGCUGUGAACCAAGGUACUAGGUUCUUGUAAGACACAUAGUUAGAGAUGUAGUGCUUCGUGCAAAAUCUAGUACCUUUCCUCAAUGCAAUAGGAAUGUUAAGAAACCGAUCAUACUCUUCAAGAUUUCCUAAAUGAUCCUGUUUGGUCUCAUGAACUUCAGUUCCUGUCACAACUUCAUCAACACUGCCCUUUUCACCCAUAUCUUCUAGAUUGGCUAUAUUCGAUCUAUUGUUCUCAACCAUUUUAUUGUCAACAUGUGCGUUAUUAGAUUCAGUCCUACCUUGAUCUCGUGAUGGUUCAGAAUCUUGGACUGGAGCCGGCCAAGCAGUAGUAGACCCAACUUCCUUUAUGAGAUUCCUCCUAUAGUAGGUUAUCUAGGGAACUUGGUUUGUUGGUAGGACCGUGUUAUGAGAGUCGAGAUACGGUAAGGUUAAGAGAGUAGGAUUGGUAGACUCGAAACGAAUCACACAGUUAGGCUCUUCACUAACACACACCCCCUGAAGAGGACCAAGGAGAAAGAAAGGAUGAUCCUCAAGGAAAGUGACAUCCAUUGAAAUGAAGUACUCAUGGGAAGAAGGAUGGAAACAUUUGUAGCCUUGUUGAUGAGGAGGAUACCCAACAAAACCACAGGCCUGAGCUCGAUGGGUGAAUUUAGUCUGGUUAGGGCCAUGGCUAUGAACAUAGGUCGUGCACCCGAGCACACGAAGGGGAACCUCGGGAAUGAGGCGAGUAGAAGGGUAAGAUUCCUUGAGACAUUCUAAGGGGUUUGGAGGUGGAGAACACGAGAGGGCAUCUGAUUGAUGAAUUGCAGUGCGAACAUCACCCCACAAAUAAGAGGGAAGAGAAGUAGAUAAUAUAAGAGAGCGAGCCACGAGGUGACGGUUUUUUCGUUCUGCAACCCUAUUUUGCCGAGGAGUGUAUGCACAGGAACUUUGGAGGACAAUCCCUUUGGAGAACAAGAACUCAUGAAGGGUAUGGUUUUGGAACUGAUGACCGUUACUACGUAGAAUUGCUAUCUUGGCAUUGAAUUGCAUUGCUACGGUGUGAUAAAGGUCUUGGAAUAUGGAAGUGACCUCAAAGUUGUCGUAAAUGAGGAAAACCCAUUUAAGGCGGGUAUGAUCAUCAAUGAAGGUCACAAACCACCGCUUUCCAAACAAGAUAAGUUUAGACCACCCUCAAACAUCACUAUGGAUAAGGGUAAAGGUUAGGUGAGCUUAUAUGGUUGUGAGGGAAAAGAGACCCUAUGUUGUUUAGCAAGAAUACACAUAUCACACGAUAGAGUAGAAAUAUCAACUUUAGACGGAAAUGCCACAACAUACAGUUGUUUUCAGAAGCAGUAAAAUAAAACAAUAUAAAACUGGUCCUAGAAAUAUUGCUAGAGGAAGCAUCGUCGUCAAGGAGGUAGAGUCCCUUACUGUGUCAAGCAGUGCUAGUCAUCUUCCCCAAGCCUGAAAAGAAACAGAAUCGGGUAAUAAAGUUGCUUUGCAGUUCAACUCACAAGUAAUCUUGCUUGUAGAUAACAGAUUAUAAGAAAUGUUCGGCACAUGCAACACAUUUCAUAGAGGUAGUCCCUCAAAAGGGAGAAUUUGCCCCUUCCCAACAAUAGGAGCCAUAUAACCAUCUGCUAUUCUGAUUUUCUCGUUACCAGCACAAGGAAGAUAAGGUAUGAUUUGCUCAUAAGAACCUAUUAAAUGAUUUGUAGCGGUCGAAUCUAGAAUCCAUGGAUUCUCUUCCCAUCGAUAAUGAUAAGACUAAGGAACUGAGUCGUACUUGACUGAGCAAUGACUCCUAGAGUAGACGAACUAGGUUCAUUAUGGUUUCCCGUGGAGCUGAAUGGUUGAGAGUUUCCAGUAGAUUCACUCACAUAUGCUCGCCCAGGAUUUUGUUUGUCAUUAGGUGGACGCUUCUGACCACCUAGAGGACGAUCGUGCAAUUUCCAACACGGUUCCUUUGUGUGCCACUGUUUCUUGCAAUGUUUACAGACAGGAACCACUUUUCCAUUGUGCUUUUCACUAUCAUGAGUAGAGGACCUCGCACUAAAGACAGCAAAGUCAAUGGCAAGAGUGGUCGAAAUAUCAUCACUCAUAUGGUCCUCUAAACGAACUUCUGAACAAACCUCUAUCAGGGAGUUAAUAGGUCUUUGGCCCAAUAUACAACCACAGACUACAUGAAAGUUGGAGUUGAGGCCAGCAAGGAAGUCAUAUAUGCAGUCAACUUCUUCAAGAUGGGAAUGUUGUAUUCCAUCACUAGGACAAUUCCAAAUGAUCUCUCUGUAUAAAUCCAUUUUCUGCCAAAUGAGGGAAAGUUUAUUAAAGUAGGAUGUUAUAUCCAUAGUCCCCUUCUUGCACUCAUGGACUUGUUUUCUUAGAGUGUAGAGACGACAAGCAUUCUUACGCUUUGAAUAUAGUUUUUGAGCUGGUUCCAUAUAUCCUAAGCAGUAGCAGUGCAUAAUAAUGGUUUGCCAACCUGUGGCUCUAUACUGUUGAUCAACAUAGCCCGAAUGAGAGAGUCCUCCCCUUUCCAGAACGUUUUUGGGGAUUACUGGUUGAGGAUGUGGCUGAUAGACCACCAAUUGUAUUACAAUAUAGUAGAAGGAAGAAGAAGGGAGACACAUGAGAAGAAGAAGGGAGACACAUGAGCGAAUGAGGGAGAAGGCAGUAAGAGAGGGGACCAUGUUGGUGGGGACCGUAAGUUAGUUACAUGAAAAAUAUGGUUAAAGGGGAAAGAGUCUGAGGGCUGGGGGGAAUCAUAGGCUGCCAAUUUUCUUGAGAGAAAGGAGGGGUAGAAGAGUCAUUCUGGUAUCAGUCUUGUUCUUAUUUUACUUGUAUUGUUCCUAUUUCUUGAUUGUUGUUAAGGAUUGAAGUAUCAAUUCUAUGUUGUACUUUCUGAGAAUUUUGUCAAUAUAUAUGAACACACAUCUUGGUGUUCUAUCAGUGGCACCUCGCCCGUCAGAAAGCCAAAUUUAUGGGGCCCCUCAAGUAUCAUUUUAAUGGAUUGAAACCAAGAAAAGUAGUUUUGGUCAUUCAACUUCCCCCUGUAAAGACUCCUAUAGUUUGUGCCACAGAACCAAAUACAUAAGUAGAAGGAAAAUUAGGGAACGAAGUUAUGGAAUUCUCAGAAUAAUUGACAAGGUUGUAGGAAUGCCAGACUGGGUGUGUGUGUAGGAGCUCCUAAGGCUGCCUCAAAAGCUGCAAGUUGCUGUCAAAACAUAGCCAAUUGCUAUCGAAAUGUAUCCUGCACAUUUGGUUUGGAUUGGGCUGAGACUCACCAACUUCAAAUUCCGACUGGGUAUGGAGGUUACUGACACCGGGAUGACAGUUGGAUAGGGUCUCCGCUAGGAUAUAGUUUUCAGUUGGAUAAUGGUGAGAUAAAGUUUGGUUCGGCUGGCCUAGGGCUUGCGGCUGCAAUAUGGCUGGUUAACCUAGGGUUUACUUCGACACUAAAGGAGGCAGGAUGGAUGAAGUCGAGGGCAGAUUCAUUAGGGUUUGGGGUGGCUGGGUAUGCGGUGGCGUGUGGACAGCAACCAAUGUGCUCAACGACGGGUGUGGUUUUGUGGCUGCCGCUGCUUGUUGAAGAACCCACUUGGCGGCACGGACUGCUGAAGGGUUACUGGCCGGUGUGGUCCAAAGGCGGCGGAACAGAUUAUCCAUCGCUGCAGCAAUCCUGGCAUUGAUGGUGGUGCUGAUGUCUGCUGCUAUCUCGUCAGUAGUGAGAUCCUUCUCUAUUCAAGUUCCAUCAGAUUGGUGUUUAGGGUUUCAUCGGUAUCUCACUUUGAUACCAUAUUGAAAGAGACAAAAAGAAAUAACAGCGAGUUACGUGGAAACCCUAGUACAAGGAGAAAACCCAUGAUAGAACUUUUCUUAUUAUUUUCUUAUGAAUGAAAUAAUACAAGGGGGAAGAAUUAAUAGGCAGCAUUAGCCCUAACAAAAAAAGGAAAGAAAAUAGGGUAUAAUAGUUUAUAUAAAUACCCUUGGCCUUUCAACUUACAACAAGCCCAUACUUUCUAACAAAAACUAAUCUCUUUGUUAAACUAUGAAGUUCCUUGAAAUAAAAUAACAAGUUCCCUUUUGUUUGUGCCGAAUCUGAUAUAACCCAUUCAAAUUGAAGAAACAACUAAUUUAACUUUCAUAGAUUGUUAAAUUUGUAUAUGAAACAUCUUAAUUUGAUGGUUUCAAUUCAAUUUGAAGUUUUUAACGAAUGAAUUUAAUUUGCACAAUCACAUUUUCUUAUGUUUCAAAAUUCACCAAGUUUCACUUUCUUUCACUAUAAAUAUCCAACAGUUACGAAUCAAUAAAUCAAAAUCUACUAUUGAUCACCAUGCCAUGCCUACAUAUAGUUGUGAUCCGAGGAAUUGGGUGGCAUCACAGAAUCAAACAAUUCUACUAAAGUUGCAUUGGAGGGAUUUCUCUGCAGGGAGAAAUUUCCUCCUUUUAAACGUUCUGCUUGCAAAAGAAGUCUACUGCUCAUUGAAAUAUAAGACAAUUUGAGAAAAUUUUGAAGGUGUCGAGUAUUGUAUUGCAGGAAGAAUGUGAGGAUUUGCACCAGAGAAUGAGAAAUGGCCUGCUCAGAAAGCCCACGGUGGUAAGGCUGUAGAACUUUUGAAGCAUAUGCUUGAACUAGUAGAGAAUAACUGGAACUUUUUUGUCUGGCCUUUUGUUCAUGAGAGUAAAUUCUUGGUUGAGCAAGUGAAUGUUUUUCAUGGACAUUAUAAUAAUAGCUUCAUGAAGGUUUUUGUCACGAGGCUGAUGGUGAGAUUUUUUUUUUAUGAAUUACCAAAUACCAAUAGCAAUCAUCACAAUGACCUAUUCUAUCCUAAAUUGUUACUCACAUUUAUGGUUAUUGGUAGCAUAGUCUCUUAAUAAUUAUCGACAAGGAUAUCCAUGUAUAUGUCAAAUAAUCUUCAUUCUUACUAUUCUAAGAAAAUUAUUAAAAGAAAAAAAAAAAUUCAAACAGCUAAGUAUUUUGAAAACCUCCGCAAUCAAUGCUCUGGAUUCAAAUUUGGUGAAAAAUGUGAAUAAACCUUCAAAAUCUAACAGUAAAUAUGUGUUGAAUCACUAUUGAAAGGAAACUGGAAUAUCCUUUAUGUCCUCCAAGAUCUUCAUGAUCUAUGUCUAAUUUCAUAUUCUAAAUGUCUUUUUACCAAACAUCAUUAUCUUUUAAGAAUGUUUGUACUGGUGUAUUUAAGUUCAAUAACAAGAUGAACUUGUGAAGUUCCUGCACCCUUUCUAUAUUGAUAUCUUCUUUGUUACCUCUUAGUACAUUCUUUUCCUGUAGACCAAUUUUCUGCAAAUUUAUGCAAAAUUGAUCUUGAACACGUCUGAGCUUCGUUCUUAUAUAAUCUUAUUUGUUCGUUCUUUUACAAUGUUGAGCAUCACGAUGGCAUAAUCAUCAAAGCGCAUAAGUAGUGUGGUUUAUUUGAAUCUUCACACUCUCUUAAUUUUAUACCUAUCUUACAAUUUAAUAUUUAUAUACUAUAAGCUAUAUCUUUCUUGAAGAACUUUUAUUGCUAUGGAUAGUGGGAUUACUCAAAGUGCUGAUCCUUUACUUGUAUCCUUAAAUAUAAGUCCUUUUUUCCCCUCAGGUGGAACUUUACGAGAAGGCAAAAAGUCUGCAUGAGGACAUCACAAAACAUGUAGUGUAAUCCGUUAUUAAAUUAAAGCAAAUAAUUGUUUUUAACUACAUUCAACUGGUUUGUAUUUCUUUUGCUGACAGUGGAUUACAAAAGAGCUGGCUAGAUUGCAAACGUGUAUUGAUCACGCAAACGAGAAGGGAUGGAGAAGAGAAUAUCCUAUCUCAAUACACUUUAUAGGAUAUGUCAUUUUAAAAAUAAAAUUAAGGCAAUGACUUGUUUUUGAAGGAAUAUAAAAUUUAAGCAGACUUUCUAAUUGGUGCCAUUUUAAUCUAAUGUUGGUCCUUUACAAUAGGGGUUUCUAUCACGAUACUUCAGUUUAUCCUUUCCUCGUUGGACUUGAGCACUCAUUGUAUACAUAGUGUCAUUUACAGUAUAGACACUUAAAGUUUAAGGCAAAAAAAGAAAGAAAGAUGGUGUGCAAUUGGGUUGAGAGGAUAGUCGUUGCAACCUCUAAGAUAGGACAGAACAAGUAAAAAUCUAACCAUCUACUUCAUUUUUCUGCUUGGAUCUAUUUUAUGCUGUCGAGAAAUUUUCAUGGGGUGGAACCAGGCCAGAAUUUCUUUUUUUCUUUUUGUCAAAACUUUUAAGGAUAAAAUUAAGUUUCCUUAACCUCUGCUUUGUAUAAACAUUGUAUGAGUUCAUGGAAAAAAGAACUCUACUUCAAAAGCCAUCAGAACAAGCACGAUUGAUACAUGAGCUUCCAAAAGUGAUACCAGAUAUUCCCGAACCCACAUUUGAGGAUUUGCUAGAGGAGGAUGAAGAAGUAAAUCAUGUGCUUGUUGAUAGAAGCGACCAAAGAAAAGUUGCAACAGGUUAGUGAUCUUUGUCAUAGGUAAGUGGUCUUUUUUGGUUUUUUUCCUUUUUGGUCAAGCUCUUUUAUAACUUUUUGAAUACUGGAUGUUCAAAUGCUCACUUUUACCUUAGGCAAAGUUCACUUUUGGAUGUCUCUUCUAUCCUAGUUGCUGUAGUGAAUUUAAGAGCCAUUGAUCCGUUAAAUUUAGUAUGUAUUAUGAUUCAGGCCAUGACAUUCUGUUUUCUGCCUCUCAAGUCGGAUGUGGCUUUUCUAUCCUUAGUGCUGCUUAUGCAGAUUUUACUGUAUAUAUAACCAUACAUCUCUAUUCUCCUAGUGAUCUUUGUUUAGUUUGUCCUUUGUAGUUUGUUUGAUUCUUUGAACUUGUGGGUCAUAAUUUGGGGACUAAGUCUUUUGAUACGUUAUUGAUUUUUCUUGAAACUGAGAAUUUUCUGGUUUCUCCUUCACAUAAUUCAUAACAUAAGGAGUCAUCAGGGCUUUAUUUUAGUGUUGAUCGGCUCAGAUCUUGGUUUGUUUCCUGAAUUUGCUACAUCUGGGUCUUAGAUGGGUAUUACAGCUGGUCAGGUUGCUGUUAAGGGGUGUAGCUGCUGGUCGUUUUAGUCUAGGGUUUAGGUUUAUUAGUUUGCCAAUCAAGAGUUGGUUAGCUCUGAUCUCUUGGUAGUCCGGACAUUUUCAUUCAAUUGAAUAAUAUUUCAUUCAAUUGAAUAAUAUGAUAAGAAAUACUUUAUAUAUUCUACCUAAAGCACUGAGAUAUUCUUGGUACACAAGGAAAACGUUAGCCUCCAAAGUCCCAUCUAUGUAAUAACAAACACAAGAGAUAUGGCUGCUUAAUUAUAACCAUGGGAUUUAUAAUGGUGUUCUGUUCGUUAAGGAGAUGAUUGAUAGACCCCCUAUCAUAUAUCAAUAUAGUAGAAGAAAGAAAAAGAGUUAGUUAGUAGUUAGGCUGUUAGCCAAAGCCGUUAAUCAGGGAGUUGGAAAGUUAGUUAAUACUGUAAGUAUUACUGUAAUAAAAAGAAAGGGUAAGAAAGAAAGAAGGCAGGCAAUUUUUAGUGAGAAAAGAGAGGUAGGCUUCUGUGCAUCUUUGAAAGAAAAGAUACAGAAGAAUAGAAUACAUUUCAGUGGAUUACCGAUUUCUAUGUGUAAAGGCGUUUACUAGAUACUAUCAAUAAAGUUUACUUCAUAUUACAUACGGAUCCCAUCAAUGAUCCACCACAUAAGUUCCAAGGAGCAUUGUGUUCCUAUUGGGUGGCUCUUUUAGUAGCCUUUUCUAGGAUAAACUCUUCAGCUUCAAGGAACUUACCUUGAGGAAAGAAAAAUUAGUCCUCCUUAAACCAAUGGAUGGAGUCAGGCAGGUAACUGGCCUAAUGGGUGUGCCUAGGAUAUUUCUCUGGGUAGUGGAGGGCUGCUAGUUGCAAUUUUGCUGUAGAGAAAUAACAGAAUUCUUGGAGAGACCGGGAGAUAAGGUGAAGAGGUUUGGUAGAUGGUUAAGUUUGAUGCUUCCUUGGGGACGUUGCUCACUUGGUAUUUUUGUUAUUGUGAGCUUUAAGCCUGAUCUUGUUCUUUUGGCUUGUGAGUUCUUUUUCUGUAGUUAAGUGGGGUGGGACUCCUUAUGUUGCUUCGUAUUUUUUGUAUACCCUUAUAUACUGAAUAUUGUUUAUUUCUUUGAAUAAAAGCUUGCCAUUUCAAAUAGUAAUCAUAAUAAUGAUAAUGAUAAUAAUAACAAACCUUCUUCCGCUUCUAAGAUCCAUCAGUUUUCCAAGACUCCAAGGAAAAGAGGGCAGGACUGCAAACCCCUAACUUUACCAAGCUCUUUAACAUCUACAAUCAAAAGAGACAUAGAAUCAAUCUGCAUUGUAUUUGUCUGAACCAACCCUUCUAAGAAAAAUGAUCAGCUCGACUAAGAAGGCGCAAAGAAUAUUGCGAGAAAGAUUAGACAUGAACUUUUCUUAUUAUAACUCUGAUGUCUCAAAGAUUCCAAAAAAUAGGCAGAUCGACUUAAGAGGAGUGCUGGAGGCAAGUCCUACUAUUUGGGCUUAAAGGAGAAAUCAAAGAAACUAUCUCCAGGAAAGCCUAGUCUUCUACGUCCUCCCUACACUAUUUAUGUUGGAAAGAAGCCUAUCCUUUCUAAAGUAGGGCAAGCCCCUCUUUGAUUCAAAUUACAAGUCUGAUUCCACUAAUUCAACUUCUUGAUGACAUUGCUCUAUUGUGUUAGGAUUUCACUCUUUAACAAUAAGAAUCCCAACAAAAAAAAAAAGGCAGAAAAAGAGACAGUGCUCUGUGAUUUGAUUAUAUUCAAUAAACCUCAAGUUCAUACAAGGAAAUAUCAAGAAAAUAACAAGAAAAACAAGGAAUUAACACACCAAAAUAGUCCAGCUCCUUUGAGAAGGCUGGCAGCUUCUCCUUUAGGGACAGCAGUCUUUUCUAUAUAAAACCUAACCUCACCAAUCCCUAAAAUUAUUCUAUUUAUACUCAUCAUUCGUGGGCCCACCAGCAUCAUUCUUUUCUCCAUUUCUCUCUCCUAGCUCUGUCCCCUGCAUAAUUACUUUCUUACCUUCCUUUUAUAUUGAUGAAUAAUCGAUAGUCUUACAUACUGAUAACCCCUCAAAUUUGUACAAUUUAGGGGAAAGUUAGCUCUGUAGCGGGCGGAGGAAUGUGUAAUGGGGGAAGAAGGAAGAAGAAAGAAGGAAGAAGGAAGAGGGAGAAGCACAGUAGUUGGAAAAAAAAAUAGAAUCUCCAAGCUAGGAAUGAAUGAGGCCUCUCCUAUCCGUCUUCUACUGUUUUGUUUUGGUGAAUGAGAAAUUGUUAUUAUUGAAAAGAGAGACAACGAGUUCACACCAAUUUACGUGGAAACCCGAGUGCCGGGAGAAAAACCACGAUUGUUUGUGUUGUUAUUAUUUUCUAAUGAAUAAAGCAAUAGGUACAAGGGAGAAUAAAUAGAGUACACAAUGGAAUAAAAAAGGAAAAGAUUUAGGAAAAUAAGGAAUACAUUCCCAUAAUCUUUCCAUAAUUAUUCUAGGAUUCUAACAAGGAAAAAGCCUAGAAAAAAGGAAAGAAUUCCAACAGUUAUAUGCAUCCGAAAGUGAAAAAAAAAUAUCUUAACCUUUAGACAAACCUUUAGACAAGCAACACCAUCUACAGUUUGCAUGAAACGGAAAUCACUAAUAUGUGGCCUUGUAGGUACUCCUUAAUACAAAUAGCCUAUUAUGAUUCCUCUCAGUCCAUCAUAGCCAAGUGGUUAUCAAAAUUCAAAGGGGUGUCUUGUCAACAGUUACAACUGUUCUGAGUGCUCUUCUUUUAGAACCUUUUCGGCACAAACAAGCCAAAAGUGGUAUAAUAUUCGUCAUGUUACAAACCAAAAUAGACUACAAACUUGGACUCCGACUUAUGUAAUUUUUCAAUAAAUAUUUCAAUGUUUAGUAAUUAGUUCGAGACAAAGCUUCAGUGAAUUUAGAAAUAUUUUUAAUUCAUUAUUUUCAUUGUGCAAUCUGUAAAUGAUAAGUAAUAAUGAUGAUGAUAAUCAAGGGUCUCACAAAUACAUAUCUCCAAGGUUAGGCCAUGUAAAAUGAUCAAUUAAUAAUUAUAACAGAAGGCAUGUCUCAAAUGCGACUGAAUUAUCCACUCACAUGGAUUUUGGAUCAUGUUCUAGUAAUUUCUUAGAUUAUAUGUCUAUAAUUGCUUUGAAGAAGGGUUUGAAUAGAUCCUGUAUGUGUGCUAGUGUUCAUUUGAGAACAAGAGUAGAUUUCCUUCGACUUCAAAUGCUUCUUUACCAACAGUAUUCUAAUUAGCAUCAAACAUCAACAUUUUAGCUCAACCUUUUUGCAGUGGUAAAUUUAACAAACUAUGUUUUAUUUUCUUGCUUUAUCCCUCAGUUGCUGAUGUAGAAGAAUCUCUGAUUGGCGAACCAAAUAUCUCAGAGAAGCAGCAACACUUUGAAGUAUCAACUUGUGAAGAUUUUGCUAAAGAAUCUUGCAUCUCAGCUGCGGAGUUUCAAGCUCAUGGAGAGCAGCAUCAAUCCAUUCUGCCAAAGAAGAAUGUGUGUUCCAAAACAUUGCCUUCCAGCAACAAUAUUCCAAUUGAAUCUAUCAAAAUUCAAGAAUCAAAGGCAAAAAACAAAAUUUGUUCUGAAGUUCAAUUGAUUGAACUAAGCGAUGUCGACGAUGAGGAUGAUAAUUUGAAGGUUGCAAAAAACUCAGAGAAUCCAAAUUUCUCCAUGUGGUAUUGUGCAAGUCCUCAAGGCGAGACGAGGGGACCAUUGCCUAUGUCGUUGCUGAAGCAAUGGAAGGACAGCAGUGCAUUCGAGUUGAAAUGUAAGGUUUGGAAGAGUGAUCAGAGCUCCCAAGAAGCAAUCCUUUUAAGCGAUGCCAUUCGGUUGCUUUUCCCUGAAUAGAUCGUGGACUGCAAAUAUAUUUUUACAUCAACUCAAUGCUUAUAUGAUGUAAAAUCACUGUACAGUUAGAAUUGUAUAUUGUAGUGCAGAAAGAAAACUACUGCUGCAUACUGUUUUCAAUGGAAGCUCUUUUCUGAUAAGAACAAAUCAUAUUGUGUGAGAUAUGGAAAUCAGAAAUGGUAUUUAUCAAUCUUAACACCAGGGGUUUAAUCAAACUUUCAGCUAUGUUGAAUGUUAGUUUCACUCUUCCAAAAGAAAUAUUUUCUUAGGAUUAUGUUACAUGAUAUGAUGAUAGCAAAGAGGUCUCUAGGCUAUGGCAAAAAAGAUCGUUAAGAGAUUUAAUCAACCUCUCUAUAGAUCAUCUGGACAUUGAGUAUUAAAUGCCAUUUUGAAGAGUUUUUAGAUGGUUUGUAAUUUCACUAUAUCCAUCUCUAAAGAGUUUCUUCAAAAUUAACUUUAGGUUAAUUCAGGUUUUCAAAAGUAGUAUUUAUUAAGAUCUUACACAGCACUUCAUAAGCUAUGCUAAAUAGAUUCUAAUUAUUAAUUUUUCCACAGGCACCAUUUGUACGAAAACUGGUUUUGUUUCUAUUUGAUUCCUUUUGAUUUUUUUUUUUCAGCAAAGUAUUUAAUAGGCUAAAUUUGAUUAUGCAUGAGUGGAUAUGUAAUGUAAUGGAUUACAAGCCACGUUUGGUUUGAGGGCCUUAGGUCCAAUUUAUAAUUCCUAUACGUCACAUUCCCUCCCUACCCCUAAUGGUCAAAGUAAAAAGAAAUGCUAUCAUCCGCCCACUUUAUUGUGAUAUCUCAUAAAAUAGUAUUAUAUAGCUGAACUGAGUGUUUAUAGGCAAUUGUACAAUCCCAGAAAGAGAGACGACAUUGCAUUUGGCAAAGGUACUGCAGAAGAAAUAUGUGAAAAAGGGAGAAAUCUUUCUCAUUGUCUCAUCACAAUUAUUGCGUAAAUCAUCAAUUAUGUCAACUAAACAUGAUUAAUAUUACGAGUCUAUCACCAGUUUUCAAGCAUUCAAAAACCACAUUCCCAUCUAACCAGCCUUGUAAAUAUCAAAUUUCCGAACCCAAACUGCAGUAUUGCUCAACAUCACUUCACAAUCUACAAGUUUGGUGUUCACACUAUCAUUUCUAUCUCUUAGCUUCCACAAUCUGGAGGAGUCAUUCAAGUUCUCCAACCGUUGAAACUGGCAACAAAUUCUUUAUCUCUGUAAUGAAUUUACGACCUCUCAAUCUCGGUCAUUUGAUAAGUUAAAUAUUUCCACUUGCAAAUUUUCCAUGGGAGCCAUACCCUCCUCCCUAGCUACUUCACAAAGCAUUUUCCUUUCUUAAAGCAUCUAGCCUUUCCUUCAUUUUUUUACUCUGUUCAAAGUUUGCCUUUCGUUUCAAAGCUUUCUGUAAACGAAGAAUAGAAAGUGCCAUUUGAGAUGGAUGACAAAAAAGGAACUUGUCAAGUUGAAAACAAAGCAAGGAAAGCUUGAAUGUGGAAGCACAAAACUCACUUCCUGUCUGAAACAUCGAUCGAGCUUAAUUUUGAGAUCUGUGCAUUCACCAAAAAAUUUUCCAACAGGAUGGUCUAUAUGACACUUCUGAAAUUGCUCAAUAAUCUGUAAAUAAUGGAAGAGAAGGGAAAGGAAAAAAUUAGCUUUUAAAAAGGGGUUCCACUGACAAAACUGCAUAAUAAAAGGGAAGUUUCGGCUUCAGUACAAUACGAAAAGAUACUCUUACCUCUUCUUUCCCUAAUAAGCAAGUGCCUAGGCUAGCUUACAACAUUUCGUUGUUAAGAAACUUGAACUCAAAUAGGUGGCACAACUAUAAAAUUUGAACUUAUUUCACUCAUGAACACCUAGGAAAUCUAUAGCAAUUCUCUUCACUUUGAUUGGUAGGAAAGCAAUAUGCUUCUCACUUGCUAGUUAGUAGACAAAUUUUAACUCCUACAGCAAUUCCAUAGCAGUUGUUCAAUGUACUGCACCACCUAUGGACCAUAGUUCAACUUCUUGUAGCCUAAUUUGGCUAGUGUGUCUGUGUCCGAUACUUAUCAAAAUUCAAACCCUUGUUAGGCAUGUAUCGAACACUUGUUGGUAUAACAAAUAUGAGUUUAGACAUACAUAAAACACUUGUUGUAUAGACUAAAAAGACUUUUUUUUUUUUGUUUCAGAUACUCCAAGAUGGCAGCGUUAAGCGCUCAAGUCUCCUAAGAAAAAGGCGAGAGCUUUAAGCAAGGCAGCUGCAUACAUAUAUUUGGGAGAAGCAACCUUUGGAAAAACAUGUCAUCAUCAACAAACUAAAAAGACAAACUUAUGACAAUAAUAAUAAAUUUUGAGUGUGAAUACGUAAAACUAAGUUUGCUAAACAUAUAAAUACAUCAAUCCGUUUUCUUUUGAAUUGUUUUUUGGUAUAAAAAUAAUAUAUUUUUUAAAGUGUAUACUUUAACAAAUGCGUGAUUUCUGCGUUGUGUCCUUGACUUUUUUUAAAAAAUGACAUGUUGCCAUGUUCAUGUAUGACUGUAAGCAACCCAUCAUUUGAUUUCCAUUAGUAUAAAACUAAAUUAGAUUGUCAAUAGUUCUUUGCUCGAUUGAAGAAGAGUUUACUUGAAUACAACAUUUAAAGAGGUAAAAACUGGUCUUCAAAGUUCAACAUAUGAUUUCUUUAUCCCACUUUCUUGCAAUAUAACAGAAUUGAUUCAUAAACAAAAGGUUGUUCAGAAAUGAAAUGAAGAUCAAGACAACCAUCUAAAAAAAUUCAACUAUAUAUAUAGAUUAAGACGGUAUAGUUUGGAACUCACUUCAGCACACAUCGGGUGCUUGUGCAAAGUUAGAGGAGGAUGCAUAUUCAGCUAUGAAAUUCCCAGCAACCUGCAACAAGAAUAGUUUACAAAAGACCCAUAAUCAUCUUCAGAAACCACAACCAUUGCAUUAAUUUCGUGUCAGAGAAAAGAGAAUGGAUGCGGAUUUAAAGGUUCCAAUUCAAACUAAUACCUUGACAAACCCAUUAAAAGGCUAUACUACAAAAACAUAUAUGAAUUAAAUUGAUCAACAAAUAGAGAUUGAAAUCAAGAAAUAAAAUCUCACAUUUUGAGGGAAAAAUUAGAGAGAAGAAAAAACAAUUAGAACACAUAAACACCCCUCCCAAAAGCUAUGAACAUUUUCUAAGUUCCAUCAAACUGCCCUUUAAAUCUAGAAAGUAGCAACAAAAAUGCAUAUAAAGUACAAAGCGAACCCCUCCCACCUACAUCCAACUAAAUUUCUUUCAAGACUAAACUAGACUUCAAUAGUUGUAAAAGCAUAAAACACAACAAUCGGACUCCUACAAAUACACAAUGACAUAGUUCUUUUCAACUGCACAAAUUUAGCCUCAAGGUAAUGUAAAAAACAAUUAGAACACAUAUAAACCAUGUCUAAUUGGAAUGUUUUUUCUUUAAAAAAAAUCUUGAAUUCUAACCUAAAGAAGCUUACAAUUCAAAAAUCUUAAUAUAUUUUUUAUGACGGGUGUAGAAAAUAUAUGUUUCUAUCACUCUAAACACAACCCAAAUUACUAAUAUAAACAAAAAUAGAUGAACUCACCGAGAGUAGAACGUACGGUUGAAGAUUUGGCUGGCGUUGGAACCUGCAGCGCAGUAGUGUGCGGCGGCGCGAGCGAGGCUGGAAUCAGCGGCGGCAGCGGCAGCGGAGUCAGAUCUGGGCGGAGCUUGCGGCUGGAGUCAGCGUCGGCGGCGGGCAAUGCGACAGAGGUGCAGCGACGGUGGUGAAAGCCACUGACUUUGGAAGGAAUGGAAAAAUUGUGGGGAAGGGAAUGAAGGGGAAAAUUUGUGGAAAAGGAAGAGAAGGAAAGGAAAUUUGGAGAAGAAAAAGCUAUCAUCUAUAAUUGUAAUAACAAUAAUAAAUAUAUUGUAAAUAUAAUCACAUACGUACGCUAACAUGGACUCCGUAAGACACACUACAAUUGAGUUAUAUUGUUCUUCAUUUAUUCUCUUCUCUUGUGUUAUUUCAUUUUCUUUGUUCCUUAUUUUAUAACAAGUUAGCACGAGUCUCAUCACUUUGGAAAUUGUGUAAAAAAUGAUUUUGAUUCAUGUUAAAGAUCCACUAAAAUCUUCUCUAUAGUUUUGAUGUAUUUAGAAUCACGUUCAUGUACGGUAAAUAUUUUAAUUUUGGUGACUUUGCAUAUGUUAUGUAUUUGGUGUACUCAUCAUUUAUCUUCUCACCACCAUCAUUCAUCUUUCUUGAAUUUCAACAUCUCUAUUUUAAUCAUAUAUAUGUAAAGUAACGUGUUUACAAAUUGAUUAUUAAAAUAUAUUUAUAUUUUACAUUUGAUCUCAUAACAUUAUAAAACUCAUACAACGUUUUAUGUGAGCAUUAAAUAUUGAAUUAUGGCUUAAAAGACAUUUGUGAGCUUUUAAAACAGAAAUUUUAAAACUUUUUAGAACGGUUACUUUGUAUUUAAGUGAAUUAGAUCGUUGUUUGUCUCCAAGUUUCUCAAACAUAUUGAAUUUGUUUAGGCAUAUACUUGUUAGAUUCCAAACUCCAUCAUUUGAAAAUUUAGACUUUUAAUUAGCUUAUUACAUAUUGUAUAUGUGCAUGCGACUUCAUUACAAUCUUUGAAAUUUUUGGGUUUCAUUUUAAUCUCUUAGAGAGAAUAAGAAUAAUUGAUGUGUUGCAUAUAGUACAUCUAUUUGUAUUCUACUUAAAAGUAAAUAUUAUGUCUUCAAGACUUGAUAGUCUUGAUUGGUCUUGAUAUACUUUAUCAUCUUUGUAAAUCUAUCAAAAGAGAAGUUUAGUAAAUUGGGAAGACAAAUGUUGUAAUUGAUAUCAUCUAGAGAGAUUGAUUAUAAGAAUAAUAUAUGAUAUGCAUAUAUUAUAUAAAUAAUCUUAUGCAAAUCGUGCAUAUAUAGAAAAUUUGUCUACUUUUACUUCUCAAUUAUAUUACACAUAUUCGUGUAAUUGAUAUAUAUGCAACAAUGAACCUGGAGUUCAUUGAUCCAAAUAUAAUUUUAUUUGACAUGAGAGUCAUUUUGGGUCAAUAAUGAAAUUAAUGCAUGAUUGAAAAUAUACAUUGAUAUCCAUUGGAGAACUAGAAGAACCAACUAGAAGAUUUUUUCAUGUAAUAAAUUGUCAAGGUUUCUUUUUUCUCAUUAUUAAACUCUCACUAGCGAAAAUUGAAAUUAAAACUUUCAUGAUUUUGGAAGAUCAGAUUCAUGGUUUAUUAAUUCUUGUUGACACAUUUUGUGGAUGGUCAAAGAUAUGCUUACUAUAUUGUUUUGAGGAUGCUAGUGAGUUUGCAUCCCAAACAUUUGAUAAUUGAUUGAGAUAAGUGAACGAACAUCUUGUAGCAUAUGUUUGAAUAUCAAAGCUUCUAAAUCUAUAUGAGAUCAUGCUUAAGAUGAUGGAACAAUUAAACCCUGGAUGAAUAAUAUAUUUACUAUGUAAUUUACUAGUUCUCACUAAUCAGACAACUUUUUCAAUACUAUGGGGGAGAAAUUAAAAAAAUGUUAAAAAAAUAAAUUGAAUUAAAUGCAUUAAGUAUUGUCUCAUUUUGAUCAUCACGAAGAUUACUUUGAACUAGAAGUUCCAAAGAUGUCUCAUUUGUAAUAAAAUGAUACCAAAUCAAAUACACAUGUAUUUACAUAACAUUUACAAUUGUAAGAAAGUGAUCGAGUUACAACGGUUACAAAGAUACCAUCUAAGAAUGAUAUCCCAGUGCAACAAGUUGUCAAUACUACAUGCUUGAAGCGUGAUAGGCAAAUGCGAGUUCCAAAGAGAAAGAUCCUUGAAGAAGAAGUAAUCAAUUAAUGUUUUGGUUAAGAAUAUGGAUAUUCAAGAAGAAAUCCUGAAUAUGGGUACCCAUAAGAAUCUUAAAGUAAAUAAGGAUAGUAAAGAGAUCUCGAUAAAAUUAUAUGUCAUGAUUAGAAAUAGAAUCGUACUUAAAUAACUUGACAACAUUUUUGCAUACAAUGUUGCUCACCAUAUAUAUUAUUUAUGAAAAAUAAGUAAUAUGUACUUAGACAUAUUGAACAAACAUAUGUGAAAAGAAACAAUCCAAUCAAAAUAAACUUAUGUUUCAAAUCGUGAGAACUAGUAUUUUGUAUUUGUAAGAAAAACAAAUAGAAAGUGGGAUAAGUUCCAUAAUAAUUAUCGCAAAAAACUGAUAUUGGUUAAUAUUGAUUAAAUGAGAGAUACAUAUUCUCACAUAGUGGAUACAAUAUCAUGAGAUAUCUAACAUAUCGUAGGUUACCAAUCUUCCUAUAGCUCUCCCUUAAUUUCAUAUCAUAACAUUCAUCUCAUUGAAUUUCAUAGUAUAAUUCAUACAAUGUCAUGUUCUGUAAAAAGAGGUAUGUGGUGCCUUUAGCUUCAGAGUUAAAAGCAAAAUGUAGUUCAGUUUAGAAGUAGAAAAGAAAUACUUUUAAUAAAAAAAAAGAAAAAUCCUAAAAGAGUUAUUGUGAUAUAAGUCUUUCAUUAGUAUUUGCUCAUAAUCCAAUUCAAAACGAUAGAACGAAGCACAUAGAAGUUAAAGAGAAGCUGAAUAAUGGUCUCAUGUGUACACCUUUUAUGUCAACCAAUAAUCAAAUAGUAGAUAUCCUCACCAAAGGAUUGAACAACAAAAACCUUGUAAACUUAGUUAGCAAAUUGGGAAUGGAACAACUGUCUUUUGUAUAUUUUGUUUUAUUUCCUUAUUUGUAAUUGGCUCCUGAUUGGUAAUUCUUUCCUUCCAAACUUAUUUUCCUUAUAAUCUCUAUUUAAUGGGAAAGAAUUAUCUUCAUCCAUAUGGAGACGUUUCCUCUAUUGAGACAAAUCUUAACAAUAGAUGAGAAAUGAAUAAAAUAAUAUUGCUACACAUGAUUCUUUCCUUCUUUGAAGGAUUCAAUUGUUUCGAGUGUUCCACUAAAAAGGGGAACUCAAAUCUCUUACCAAAAAUCUAUACAAUUGAACCAAAACUUAAUCUUUCUUCCACCAAAGUAGUGGGCAACUAUAACAAAACUUGCCACCAAAGCCUAUGAACUUAGUUAAUCCAUCCUCCCACCCCAAAAAAAAAGAGAAGAAAAGAAAAGAACAUCAGAUGUGUCAGAUUUUGACUAGAAUAUUCAAAAUUUCAUAACUGAUGAAGUUAGGUUGAGCAAGGGCUCCAAGGUAGAUGGAGCAAACUUCCGAGCAAAGAGGUAACAAACAUAAGUGAUCUCUGAAUUAUAUAGGCACUCUGUCCCAUUGUUUCUUAUAGAUUCUAUAAAACUUUCAGUAAUGUUAGCUGGUCCAUACAUUGCUGGAUGUGGACCUCCCAUUGACCAAUCGACCCACGUCACUGUGCGAUUUGAAUUCAGAGAACCGUGAAACAUGUUCAAGUAUGUUGGGAUAUAGUGUUCAUCUGGGUAGCAAGCAGGCUUACAGAACUUCUUAAAAAGAGUGUAGUAUUUGAUGUCUGCAACAAUAUAAACAGCAAGAGCACGGCUGAGUUCAAACCACUGGGAUCCUUUCCGCCAAUGCUGGAGCUUAAUAUCUGGAAGCAUUUGGCGACUGUACCGACCACGUCCGUAUCGGGUUGGUUCAUCAUAUGAUUCUACAAAACUGUGGGCAGAGUUUAUCAGAUAUUCAUAGACAGUUUGAAAGUUGUACACUGGGAUACAGCUCUCAGAAAGCAGGACAAAACGGUCGUUUGAGAAGUCGAGUAGGGCAUUUGCUAGAAGCCGCCUCUCAGCAUCUGCAAGUGAUACCGUUCCCCAAGAAACACGCUGCAAAGAAAAUGAAAGCAAUUUGAUAGGGGUAAUGCAAAAUUCGAGAAUCUGAAAGCAAGUCUGUUUUUUCUUUUUUUGUUCCAAGAUUGAUAGAACACUUGAAAAGAGGUUAUAUAAUCAGAGGUACCAUAUAGAACUUAGCAGAGUCAAAUAAAAUUCAGGAUUACUGUUGACGACUACAUGGCAUAAAGACAAUGUUUAGGAUAUUAUCUCAGUUCAAUUUUCAAUAGUUUCCACCGGUGUUCUACGCAUGUGAUCCUUGAGCCAUUAUUUUAAAAGCUUCAGUACUUUUGGGCGUACGGCUUCCAACAGUAGCAAGGGAACACACAUUAUUUUAGAGGUUUGUAUUCCUUAGAACUCAAGGAGACAAUUAUAUAACCUAUCGAAUAUAUCAUGUUCAAGGUCGUGAGGGUCAUAUUCCUUAUGAUCACAGUCUUUCGAUUAGUUAGUAUCUAGUAUUUACUUAUAAUUUAUCUUUCAAAAGAAAUGAACAGGACUUACAUAUUCUGAAGGAAAGGAAUCACAAAGAUAAGGAGGUAGAGAAACAACAUAAGCUACUUGUUUAGAUGUCAUUUUCAAACCAUUAUUGUCUAGUUGCUACCUUGAAAUUACUUAGGGGCCCUUUGUCAAGACUACAAUAACAACCUCUAGAUCAGUAAAUAUACUAUAUAAAUGUCUCUAGUUAACUAGAGUAAACACUAUUUAAAAAUCCUCAUUAUGCUAUUUACCAUUUGCUAUAGUUUUUACUAUUUGACAUUCAUCGUUUUUUUAUUUUUUUAUUAUUUACUACCGUGUUUACUGUUUCCUUCUCAAACUAAAAUAAUCUACACCACAAAUACAUACUAUUUUAACUCGAACUAAAAUAAUCUACAUCCCAAACACAAACUAUUAUAACUCAAUUACAUUAACCUAAGACUACAACAACUCACUCCUUGUCCCCAAAUACCCUCUUAAUAAGGAAAUCUGGGAUGAAAUUUUCUGCCUCUGUUGAAGGAUAGCACAACCACAAACUGCAGAUUACUUCAACAAUCAAUGAGAAGGGAUUUUCCUUUAGAACCUACAGUAGUUUGACAAGGCGGACAAAAGAAACAUCACCCGUGUUUUUAUACAUGUUCACAUCAAAAUCCUUCAGUCUCAAAUUUACCAAUGUACUUAUUCUUUCUUUUCGAUAUCAUGGAGGAUAUGUGAUCUUAUCCUACAAGAUUUAAUGUUGCAAAACUCAGUAAGAUUUAAAAACCAUGAUUUCAAAUUGAUAACUUAAGUUUGGGCCUUCACACUGAACACAUAAUGGUGUUUCCUAAAAGCUUAGGAGGUAUCUA